rnacentral:lncRNA from 1 species
GAUACAUAACCGAGGCUCGGGCUGCGCUCCCGAGGUACCCUAGGACAUUUCCGAGACCAGCGGGAACGAUCUUGUAACGGAAUCCCAUCGGAGGGAGGCAUCGAGCCCUCGAACCCCGUCGCCAGGGGACCGGGUCCGGCAAAUCACCCGCAGGUACUUUUGGGCGUGCCCCUGGGCCCCUAACCGACCCCCAACGAACGGGGCACGGACGUCCACUCGGAUUACCCGCUUGCAGCUCACCGGAGACACCAUGUUCGGUGCCCAUCGAGGGUAACAUGGCGCUCUCCCCCCUCCUCCUUGCGGAAAGGCGACGUAGGGGCGUAUGUAAAAAAGCCGAGUCUGUCCCUGAUCGUCCUCUCGCCCUGUGCGGAGGCUCGGGGGCUGCUCUCGCAAACCCGGCUCCGGCCAAACCGUUGACAGCGUCAACAUACCAGCCCGAGAGCUUGGGCCCCGACCGUGCACCCGGGCUACGGCCAGUUCGCAUGAGGGAACAACCAGACCAGCCGAAGCAUUGCGCGAGGCAUUAAGACCUCGAAGGAGUGUAACCACUCCUCCGAGGCCUCGGGGGCUACACCCGGCGGGUGCACUCGCGCGCACCCACCGGAACAAAAUGCAACCGAGAAAGGCUGGUCCCCUUGCAAAAAAGUGCGACGAAAGCCUCCAAGCGAGUGCUAACACUCCCUUCGAGGCUCGGGGGCUACUGUCGGGGACCAUAAUUAGGGGUACCCUCAAGACGCCUAAUUCUCAGCUGGUAACCCCCAUCAGCAUAAAGCUGCAAAGGCCUGAUGGGUACGAUUAAGUCAGGGAUCAGUCCACACGAGUGACUCGAUCACGCUUCACCCGAGCCUAGCCUCGGCCAAGGGCAGCCGACCUCGAGAGACUUCCGUCUCGCCCGAGGCCCCCCUUUUUAACGGCGGACACACCUCCGGCUCGCCCGAGGCCUUGGCUUCGCUUAGAAGCAACCCUGACUAAAUCGCCGCACCGACUGACCAAGUUGCAGGAGCAUUUAACGCAAAGGCGGCCUGACACCUCUAUCCUGACGCGCGCCCCCUGGCAGAGCCGAAGUGACCGCCGUCACUCUGCCGCUCCACUAACCGGUCUGACAGAAGGGCAGCGCCGCCUGCGCCACUCCGACUGCAGUGCCACUCGACAGAAUGAGACAGACAGGCAGUCAGGCCUCGCCGAAGGCACCAUGGGAAACUCCGCCUCGCCCGACCCCGGGGCUCGGACUCGGGCUAAGACCCGGAAGACGGCGAACUCCGCUCCGCCCGACCCCAGGGCUCGGACUCGGGCUAAGACCCGGAAGACGGCGAACUCCGCUCCGCCCGACCCCAGGGCUCGGACUCGGGCUAAGACCCGGAAGACGGCGAACUCCGCUCCUCCCGACCCCAGGGCUCGGACUCGGGCUAAGACCCGGAAGACGGCGAACUCCGCUCCGCCCGACCCCAGGGCUCGGACUCGGGCUAAGACCCGGAAGACGGCGAACUCCGCUCCGCCCGACCCCAGGGCUCGGACUCGGGCUCAGCCCCAGAAGACGACGAACUCCGCUCCGCCCGACCCAGGGCUCGGACUCGGGCUCAGCCCCAGAAGACGACGAACUCCGCCUCGCCCGACCCCAGGGCUCGGACUCCGCCCAGGCCUCGGCCGAACGAUCUCCGCCUCGCCCGACCCGAUGGCUCGGACUCGGCCUCGGCAACAGAAGACAGACUCGACCUCAGCUUCGGAGGAGCCCCCACGUCGCCCGACCUAGGGCGCAGGCCCGCCACGUCAACAGGGAGCGCCAUCAUCAUCCUACCCCGAGCCGGCUCGGGUCACAGAGAACAAGAUCGGCGUCCCAUCUGGCCAGCUCCGCCAGAUGGGCAAUGAUGGCGCCCCACAAGCUCUGUGACGACGGCGGCUCUCAGCCCUCUUACGGAAGCAGGGCGACGUCAGCAAGGACUCGACCGCUCCAACAGCUGUCCCUCCGCCAGGCUCCGUCGCUCCUCCGACAGCCACGACAUCACGCCAGCAAGGUGCCAAGACCUCUCCGGCUGCCACAUUGGCAUGUACCUAGGGCGCUAGCUCUCUCUCCGCUAGACACGUAGCACUCUGCUACACCCUCCAUUGUACACCUGGAUCCUCUCCUUACGACUAUAAAAGGAAGGACCAGGGCCUUCUUAGAGAAGGUUGGCCGCGCGGGGACGAGGACGAGACAGGCGCUCUCUUGGGGCCGCUCGCUUCCCUCACCCGCGUGGACGCUUGUAACCCCCCUACUGCAAGCGCACCCGACCUGGGCGCGGGACGAACACGAAGGCCGCGGGAUCUCCACCUCUCUCACGCCCGUCUCCGGCCACCUCGCCUCUCCCCCCUUCGCGCUCGCCCACGCGCUCGACCCAUCUGGGCUGGGGCACGCAGCACACUCACUCGUCGGCUCGGGGACCCCCCGGUCUUGAAACGCCGACAACCAUCGAGUGUGACAAAACCAAGUUCCGAAGCUCCAAAAGUCGUUCCUAAGGGAGCGCAGAGUAAGUUCCAAAGCUCUAAAGUCGUUCCUAAGGGAGCGCAGAGUAAGUUCCGAAGCUCAAAAGUCGUUCCUAAGGGAAUGCAAAGCUAAGAUGCCACCUAAAUCAAAGGUGAAUAAGCUCCAAAGUCGUUCCUAAGGGGAUGCAGAGCUUAAAUGCCACCUAAGUCAAAGUUGAAGAAGCUCCAAACUCGUUGCCAAGGGGAUGUAGAGCUUAGCUCCAAAGUCGUUUCUAAGGGGAUGCAGAGCUGAAAUACCACCUAUGUAAAAGGUGAAGAGACUCCAAAGUCGUUCCUAAGCGGAUGUAGAGUCUGGGUGUGUAUCCGCGUGGGUUUUUACCUUCGGCAUAAACAUCAUUUUGCAUCAAGACAUCACAUCAUAUUGCAUAGCAUCGCAUCAUUCAUCAUUUUGCAUCGCUUUAAAGAUCUAGAGAAAUAAAGAAAAGUUGCUCCCCUUUAAAAUCGAUCGGAGUAUGGAGAAGAAUGUUACAUCACAAGAUGUGCCUUCGGCAGAUAUAUUGUACUACAUCAAGCUAACCUUCGUCAACAGUGGCAUAAGAAAAAUACUUUUCUUUGCGAAGCAUGAAAAGAAGGGAAUGUGUUUUUUCGCAAAAGGCUCAAAAACGUAAGUACGGAGAUUUCAUGCAUCGCAAAGAGAUAUAUUACAUUAAUGUACAUACAAAUACUUGAUGUUUGUUUCUAACACAAGGCGAUAGCCAUACACAAGCAUUACAUUUUCAAGCAUACAAAAAUUUAAUCUUCCUUUAGCACUUUUUCAGCAACUUCAUGUAAUAGUCUAUCGACGACUUCGUCAACGACUUCGUUAGCAAUCUUCAUUAUAGCCAAAGCUUCUUUCAUAACCGGGUCGACUUCGGGAUUGUACGGCUCAUGUGGUGGUGAAAGGCCAGCUGCAAUAAAGAAUAUGUUGGUGAAUUUCGAAGAUAAAAACAACGAAGCAAAACUUUAAAUAGAAGUACCUAUAAUCAUUGUGCGUUCAACAACUUCUUUAUCUCGCUUAGCCUCUUCUCGGGUGUCGUGAGAUUCUUUCUCAUUCUUUUUAAUGGCUUCAUCAUCCAUCUCACGACCGCCCUUCAUCCAAACAUCAGAGUAAAACUUCUCGCCUAGCAAAGAGGCUUCGGCCGAGGGGUCCUUGGUGUCAUCCGCUGAGAAAAUAGAUUCCGGCUCGGCUGCGGCCUUAACAUGCUCACAACCAGCUUUUUCCAAAAUGGCCACGACCCGUCGCGCACCGGCGAAAGCGCAGAAUUCCCCACGGUCGUUGAGUAUUUCAUCAAAAGCUUUGGCCUCUUCGCCGAUCCACUAGAUAACACCAUUAUGUUUACUUCUUCGUGUUCAUGUUCAUUCAUUAAAAUGAUGAAGGUACGUCCUUCUAGACCUUCAUCUGAUGAGUAUUAUACCCAUGGAGGAGUAAUGCUUCGGAAGACGAAGGUCUCUUACAAUUAACAAUUGUGUUGCCUUGUUCUUGACUAGCAGCAUUUAAGAACAACUGACCAACAUUAGCGCCCACGUCCGGUGAACUCACUUCCGCAAUCUUCGGCAAAGCAUCCACCUUCGACAUGCCGUCGAAGAAGGCAACAGUGCUAGGGGCUACCCUGCAGCCACUAGACACAAAUCAAGACGCACUCUCCCUGCGAGAGGCCAGGAGGCAGGAGCCAAAAGAGAAAGGCCACCAGCCCGACUCUUCAGGAGGAGCAACUUGACCAGGAAAUCAGGGAUUUAGAAGCAAUCCAUCAGCAAGUACAAAGGAAAAAAAGAGAAGAUGCUUCGCUUGGCUGACCUUCAGAAGAAGAUUGACGAAGCUGCUGAGGAAAUGCGUCAUCUUACUCAAGAUGACCAGGACCGAAGGCCUCAGCACAGGGAGCUUCGUCAGGAAAGUUCAUUCAACGAAGACGAAUGGUACGACGACUUCCAUCAUGGUAACUUUACUUUUGACGAUGCUUCUCAAAUGGUAGCAGAAUUGCAGGCUACCCCGUGGCCACAAUCCUACAAGCCACCACAGUUGCGCAUGUAUGAUGGGCACUCGGAUCUAAAGCAAUUUCUGAUGAGUUACGAGGAAACAAUAUUCUCAUAUGGGGGCAACGCUGCUGUCAUGGCAAAGUCCAUCAUCAUGGCAGUCAGAAGCAUGACCUAGACCUGGUAUUCCUCCCUUCGGCUAGGAACGAUCACAUCGUGGCAAAAGCUCAAGGAUAUGCUAGUCACUAGCUUCCAAGGCUUUCAGAGAAGCCAGUCACUUCUCAGGCAAGACCAUAAGGAGUACCUCCAAGCGUAUGUCUGAAGGUUUUUGCUGCAAAGAAGAACAUGGUGAAGGUUUGGCCUUUCUUGGCCAAACAAGUUCAGCGUUACAUAUAUCUACGGAUUCAUCAUCUGAACUAUCGCUCUCCACUAGAUGUAUAUUAUGGCCAGCUGACUUUGAUGUCUCUUUACAUCAGCUUUUACAAUCCAAAGCCCGCUGAUGUAGUUGUGCUAUUGAAAAGAACUAGGUGCAAUCUAAUUUUUCUCUUAGGUGGUCGCAACCCAUUAGAAGCUAGCCCUACUAGCUCUUUGUCUGUGACAUGGAUUUAGAAGCAUCGAUUUUUAGUGUUCUGGACCUCCGGAUAUAGUCAUUAACUGAUUCCCCAUUCCCCUAUCGGACUAAAGCUAAAUCAGCUAAUUCUAACUCAUGCUCUCCUAAGAAAAAGUGUUUAGGGAAUUUCUGCUCUAAUUCCUCUCAAGAGUUGAUAGAGUUAGGUGAUAGAGCCGCGUACCAUGCAAAUGUUGUACCAGUAAGGGACAACGAGAAUAAACGGACACGAUAGGCUUCCGUAUCAGCCAAUCCUCCUAGGCGUGCUAAGAACAGGCUUACAUACUUUUGCGUGCUUUUCCCGCUUUCACAGAAAUCCGGUAUCCUGGUCCCUUGCGGAUAUGGCAUAGUGUCAAAUCGGUGAUUAUAUGGUUUCUGAUACGACUGCCCCGAUCUGGCUACACUUACGUCGAGCCUUUCUUGGAGUAGUUCAGUAAUUUCUUCCCUAAUUUUUUCAUAGCGCCUGGUGGCAAGUCACCGGUCUUUGGGAGGUAGGGCUCAUUUGGUUGGGCAUUGCUGUGCCGACCUUCUUGCCAUGGCCGAUCGAAAGCGACGCUCGGCUUAUGAUCGCAUGGUGCACCGCGGCUCUGAUAUGUAGGGGGAGAAACAUAUUAUUGCUGCGGUGUGUAAUAAUUUGGUGUGUUUUGUGCCAUAAUAGAUUCUGCAUACACGUAUCCAGACGGUCCGGUGCGCUCAAGGAUGGUAUGUGGGUAUACCCUGACUGUUCGGUCGUGCUUGCUACCACCUAGGAGCCAUGUGGUGUCCAUGGCGUGGGUCUGGACUGUCCGGCAGGGAGAGCUAGACUACCGCAUUAGGGCUAGACGGUCCGUGAUUAGAUGCGGACGAUCCAUCAAAUCUAGAGUCGUCGAUCUGUCAAGCAGGCACGACGGUGGUGAAAUUUUCCCUAGAUUUGAAUUCAUCGGCAUACAAUGCAAUGGCUGACGCUGCGAAUCCCUGUUCGUUGCCGAUGUAUUAGAUAUAGAUAUCCUAUUGCUAGUUUCAUAUGACAAAAAACUAGGAGCAACAAAUUUCUCAAAUGUGCAUGUUAAUUUUCUAAUUAUUUCUUCCAACCCCAAGCUAUUGUUUCAUUUGAUCUUGAUGUUGCUUAAUAGAUUGGACGUCGUAAGAUUUACUUACAUUUGAGAUUUGAAGCAAAGGUAGGAGGGAUGCAAUCUUGAUCUCUCCAUGCUUGGUAAUUAUUGGGGGCCUUCCUCUUCCGAAGGUCCUCAAAAAACCGGCUGACCAUUUGCUUUCAACUUUCUACUGAGUAUUACAGGAGCUUCGUCACCAGAAAAGCUUUGGUAUAUUGCAAGAGGAGCGAAGCAAGCUUCGUCCAACAGGUUUCAUCAUGGUGAAAUGGGUAGACAACGUGGCUUCAGGAUAACAGAAAGAAAGUACAACGAAGCACGCUUUAUCAAACAGGCUUCAUCACAAUGAAACAAUGAGACGAUGCAAGGAGAAGGUGUUGCUCAAGUUAUUAAAUACAAAUGACAAUGUUGCCCUUGUAACAUCUUGCAAACUGUAUAUGUAAUUAUUGAGGGAAUAAAUGUAAUAGCAUACGAACCCUUAUGGUUGCCUAUAAAUAGAUGAACAGUACCGCCGUACUGUUCACGUUGGACUAUAAUUGCUCUCACGUCAUCACCUUCAAACAAGCCGAAGGUAUCAAUGUAAUAUAAAUUCUAAUAAUGUUUAUCGAUGAAUAAAUAUAUGAAUAGAUAAUACAUUUCAUGCAUAUAAACUUUUAUUUCUUAUGAAUCAUGGAGACGUGUUCUUCAUGACCUUCGUCUGAAGAUUGUUAUAACGAUUGUGUUGCCUUGUUCUUGAUUCACAACAUUUGAGAAACAAGUGACCAACAUUGGCGCCCACCUCUGGUGAACUCAAACGACCACCUUCGACACCAAGAACUCGAACAACCACCUUUGCCAUGCCACCGAAGAAGGCAAUAGCGCCAGGGCCUACCCUUGCACCAUUGGACAUCAACCAGGAGGGGCUCCCUCUGAGAGAGGUCCGAAACCAGAAGAGGAAGGCCAUUAGUCCAACAGCACAGGAAGAUGAGCUAGAUCAAGAGAUCAGAGAUCUAGAGGCCAUCCACCAACAAGUUGAGAGAAGGGAGAAAAUGCUUUGGCUGGCUGAACUCUAGAAGAAGAUUGAUGAAGCUGCCGAAGAGAUGCGUUAUAUUACACAAGACGAGCAAGGACGAAGGCCACAACAGAGAGAGCUUCGUCAGGAAAGACCAAGUUAUGAUGAUGUAUGGUAUGAUGAUUUCAAUCAUGGUAACUUUGCUUUUGAGGAUGCUUCCCCCCUAGCAGCAUAAUUGCAGGCUACCCCAUGGCUACCUUUGUACAAACUGCCACAACUCCCCAUGUAUGACGAGCAUUCUUACCCAAAGCAGUUCCUAAUGAGUUACGAAGCAACCACAUCAUCAUAUGGUGGCAACACCGCAUAGGAUUAACUGGAACACCGUCAUGUCGGUCGGUGAACGUCGCCGAAGGCACUGCCCACAUCGACCGGCCAAUCCAUAGCUCCUCCGGACAAACCUAGGUGAGCAUCGUAUGUCUGAUGCAUUACUAAUACUUGUAGUGACCUUGAAUUGAACCCUACCGCGUUUUAAACCUUGGUACACCUCACCGGAGCUCGUCGAUCCACCGUCAGCAUGGCUAGUGAAGCCCUAGAUGGUUUAAGGUCGAUUAACUUAGGGGAAAUAGGAAGAAAGUCUCGAGGAUCACAAUUGUAGGCUUGUUUUCAUCAGAAAUGGUCGUCGUCGAUGGGUCUAAGCGGCGGAUGGCUGGCGCUCGUCGGGAUGCGACCGUGGACUAGAGUUUGUGAAUAGAACGGAAGCCGAGGGCUUAUGUGCAACUGUUAGUGAGACACGUGAAUAGUAUCUAGGGUUCUUUACUGAUUAUUCGAACACCUAGGGACCCUCGUGAAAAUCUGCACGCGGCCACCAGUGCGCGUGAGUUUCCCCUAUCGUGGGCUGACUCGGGCCAGAAUCGGCCCAACCCUAUUCAUUGUUUUUCUUUUUCUUUUUACUGUCAGCUUCAACAAUUUAUAGAAAAUAGUAGAAAAUUGAUAAAAUCACGAGACUAAAUUUUCUAGACUCCUAAAAACACAGAGUAGUUAAUAAAAAUUGUUUCAAAAUUAGUCUUUAAAGAUGCUAAAAACCAAGCCUUUUAGAAUUUUAGAAGCAAAACCCUAGGUCCAAAAAUCAUAAGAAUUUGUGGCAAGAUUAUAUACCCUUAGAAUAACUUAUGGUUAAAAUUUGAACUUGUUUGGAGUUGAUUUUCCCAAAGGACUAACACCUAGCUAAGUAUAAGUAAUUAAAACCCUAAACUUUAGUAUUGGUUUAAGGUUAGAUCAAACUUAAAUCCUACCUAGUGUUAAACAGAAAAUUGGCCAACUAUUACAUGGAUAGUCCUCUGGUCUUUUAAAGUAAGUGUAAUAUGAUCCCUUUAGACAAAAACUAUAUUACCCAGAAACAUAAAUAUAAUGGUCAUGUCCUUAGUUAUGAAUAUGUAAGUUUUCCACCUCUCUCUAAAUGAGAGUUUGCAUAGCAUCUCAUUACAUGGGCAUUCAUAUACUUGAAUUGUAGAGCACCUAGAAGAAGAAUUUGAAGUGGAAGUGGAAGGGGAGCCUGUUCCUCCAUCUGAAACUUCUCCAACUGAGGUUAUCUCUGAAGGUCCUCCAGAAGGUGCUCCAAUAGGAUUUGCUGCCAACUGCAAUAUUUUAGUAGAAGAGCCUGACUCUCCUCCUCAUCAAGGAAAGCCCCGGUGCAUUUGCCACCUCCUUGCUGUUUUAAACUUUUAUCACUUAUAUGCUGCAUUAGGUGGUAGGAGUUGAAUGGUUAAACCUUUGUUGCAUAACUUUCUUGAGUUAUUGAUUAUCGUCCUUGAUACCUGAUUUGAAAAGCUAGAUAUGCUUAGUAUGCUUAUAGACAAGGAAAAAAUGUUUUGAUGUAUGAAUCAUGUUUUUACAAAGAAAAAGGGACUCGAUUGAUGAAGGUAUCAAAGGCCUUGAUGACUUCAUCAUUUUAGUAGGGUACCUCUGACAGGUACCAGAUUUUCAGAAAAUAUUUUAAUAUGAGACUAGAUGUUGAGCAGGAAAGGCCGCCCAUCUGUGUCGCUUAAGGACCGUAUGAUUGUUGGUCUGCUGAUCUAGGACCCUUUAACUGGCCACAUGCCACAUCAUGGGUAAGCUUAGCCUCGGCUGGACUAAUACCAGAAAGGCCGACCCGCAAUGGGAGUGGAGAGAUGGCGAGAGUAUCGUGUAUCCACCUGGCAAGAGGCUGAAUGGUGGGGUACUGAGCUCUCGGUUGGCGGGGACCCGUUCUGGUCUUGAAAAAUCUGUGGGCGAGUUGACAUAUGCAAGGGUUAAGUGCUACAUAUGUCGUGUGGUUGGAGAUCCCUAGCUGGGUAUUAAUCGAUUCGGAUCGCCGAACUUCUCGGAUAUGAAGACUGGAUCUUUGACCCUCAUCGUAGAUAACAAGUGAAACUAAAGAUGCAAAAAUGGAGUUAGUGUAGGACAAGUGAAUGAUCUAGAUUAGGCAAAUCUAGAUUCAGGAAGAAAUUUAACUUGUGAAGUAAAAUUUUGGCAUAAGGAUCCACUAUUAGUAAGCUUUUCUGCAAAACUGAGUCUUUGAAAUUUAGUAAGCUUUACCUUGAUUCCCAACAAACCAGCAUACCUUUAAGAGUCUUUUCUUUAGUCGGGUAAGUCUCGCUGAGUAAUUGCGUACUCAGGGUUUUAUUCCCAUUGUUGCUACAGGAGAAACUAUUAACACCUUUGAGUUCUGCUAAAAUUCACACUGGAAGCUUCUACUUUUGUUUAUGUUCAUUAUGUGUGUACUGCGGGAAGAUGGUUUCUUCCCGGUUGAUGUAAUAAGUUAGCACUUGACUCUACCUCAGGCAUGUAAUAAUAAUAACUACUACUUGGUUUGUAUACUUUAAAAGUUUGUUAACGUAUAUUAUCUUAUUGUAAUGUCUUCCGCUCAACUCAUGUAUUUAAAGUUUAUGUUUGUGUGGGAUUAUUGUAAUACUUGCAACUAUGGUGAAUGGUCCUUGGGAAUGAACGAGUUCAUUGAAACUCGGCACCCCGAGUAAGUUAUCUAAUUCACUUGCAUAUCCAUCCAAGGCCUUGAAGGCAAGGAUUGGUGUACGUGGGUCCGAUAACUUGUUGUGAUAGCUAGUAUCAGAGCCAUUCACACAUUUUUGCAAAUAGUAGAAUAAUCAUGAGAACAUGUCUUUAAAUGAAAUUGAGUUCAAAUGAAUUUUUUGAAAAAAUCUAAACUAGGAUUACAUGCCUAGUAGUAAAAUUGCAGUUAGUACUAUAGUAAGUUAAGGACUAGUAGGUGGCUUAGCUUGAGGUACUAACCACUAACCCACAACUUAGGCUGGAAUAGAAUUUUCUGCAGGUAUGCUGACGAAACCUUAGAAGAUUACGACUAGUUAAUUACGAAGUGAGUAGGAUUGCCACCGUCAUAAAGCAUGAUAGCCAAAUAAAUUGGCAGUAGUUGAGAGGCGAAUAGGAAACGAAGCAUGCAUCAUAACAUUCAAUAUUUUGAUAAAAGAUUUCCACCUAAAAGCUAAAUGGUUACUAGAUUAUAUGUGGGUUUAAAAAUUAUUCUUAUUAAUCCUACUAAUCCUUUGAUCUUUUCUUUCAUCUAUAUUCCUUAAAAAUUUAGAAUGGCUCCUCCUAAGCAGACACCCCGCAUGCGUGUUGGACCACGAGGUGUGCCCAAGCAUCAGAUGGCUUUACGUGCAGUGGAGGAAUGCAGUAGCAGUCGUACACCUGCGACGUAGGUGGAGCAGCUGCAGCAGAGUCAAGACGUGUCCUUCUAUGAGCGGUGUCUUGACGCAGCCCAUAUUCUUGAGCUACUGGCUGAAAAGAAACAACUUCAGAAGGAAUUGGCGGAGCAGAAGGAACGCUUGGCGGCAGCCAUGCGAUCUCGGGAGGCAGCUUUUGCCCGGGAGGACCACUUGAGAGGCUGUUUUUAGGAUUUGGUUCUAGCCUAUAAUGAUCUGGAAGAUUAUUCUAAUGAGCUGCAUGAAGAAGUCCACCAACUUUACUAUCAGCUGCACCCCAAUGAUGCGCCAGGAGCCGCAGAAGCAGAAGGUGGUGUGGUGCUAGCAGAUGGUGGUGAGCCUGACGCAGACUGAGAGGAGGGAGCCGCUGUGUAACACCUUAAAUCCAUCAAUUAAAACAAUUCAUUACUAGUUGCUAAACUUAGUAGAGGAUAAAAUUUUAAAUUUUAAAUCAAGUGCUUGAUUUCUUUUAUUCAUUUUUCAGAGGAUGAUUUUUGAUUGAAUUAAUGAUUGACAAUUGUUUUAGUAGUAUUUCAUUAUUUCAAAACACAAUUAACUUACAUAUAUAAAAUAAAUAUUUAGUGUUAGAAACUAUUAUUGGAUUUAUUAGAAUUUUUUUAAUACUAUAAAGUAUACUUAUAUUUAGAAAAAAAGAAAAAACAAAACUGCUAACCCUUACCCUAGUGUAACACCCUAAAUCCGUUAAUUGAAAAUAACUUAAUCUAUAUUGUUAAUUGUCAGUAGAAAGAAAAAUGUUUAUAUUCAAAUAAUGAAAUGGUGAUAUAUAUAAAUUGAACAAAUUCUUGAACAAUUAAAAUUUUACCAAGUGAUUGAAUGCAUUCAUGCCGAAACUAGUGUUUUGUUUGAUUUGAUUUUCAAAUCCAAUCUUUGGAUUGAAGUUGGUGUGAAAACCACAUUUCAUAUAAUAAUAAUAUUUUGUUCUACAAAAUAUGUAUCCUUUCUAAAUAUUAUUCUUUAAUUUAUUCUAGUCUAAAUAUGUGUGUUUGGAUUUAUCUCAUGGUGUAGAUCUCUUUAUAAAAACAUAUAUAUGAUUUGCUCCACAAUUUUUUUUUCAAAAACACGUACUUUAUUUUGCUAAUAUUAUUUGGAAUUUCUGAAGUAUAUAUAUACACUAUAUAUUAUGCUCUUUAAAAAAAUCAAAAUAAAAAACAGAAAGUCUCACGCCCAGCCCAACCCACAUACAACCUUGCCUUCCUCGUUUUUUUAAUGCUGAUCGGUGGAUCCCGAGCCCACAUAUCAUUUUCUCUAUGGUUCUUCUUCUAUCUCCUUUCUUCUCUCACGGUUGUGCACUCGCUCAGGAUCGCAGCCGCCACUUCCGUUUCAUGGACGUCGCACUGUCAACUGGUCGCUUCGUCCAUAAUGGAGCAAGCAGCGUCCUGCCACCAUGUCUCGUCUGUUCAUCUCUCCACUGCACAGCUAGCUGCUCGCCUCCUCCCCAUUAUGCUGCGUUGAGUUGCAGCGACCAUUUUGUGUUCACGUCAUUUCCUCCUCCAUUAAUGGUCUUCAAAGCUCUUCACGACGACAUUCAUCAACGGCCGCACAGCUCCCCCUCCCUCGCAUAUAAAACACGACGCUUCCCCUUCCUCUUUCUUUGGAACGUCGCUUGACCUCCCUCCCUAGCCUAUAAAUCAUGGACGCAGCCGCGCAGAAGCUUUUCCUCGUCUCCACUUCCGCCUCCCACCCUUGGUACUGCUGCCUGCACUGAGUUGCGCAAUGUGGCUUGCAGUCACUUGCUGUCUGUGCUGUCGCCGGAAAUCCUCUACGUCGUGCUGCUGCUCCUCGCCAUUCCAGCGUCAUUGCCGUGCUAUGCCACACCACCAUUGCUCUCCACGCCGCUCGCCGGAGUUCGUCGUCAACGUCAUCGAAGCUCUGCUCGCUGCACCGCGUGCUGCUCACAACUUGCUGCUCGUUGCGCCGUGCUGCGCCCUGCUCUGCUGUGUGCGUCGUGCCUUCGCCUACGCCGAUGAACGCGCCCCGUCCAAAGCUCCUCCACGUGAUCUGCUCCGCGCCAUGCCGUCCCCAGCCUCUCUGUCCAUGCUGUAGCUGCUCGGCGUCGCAGUGGUGUGCCUGCGCUCGCUGCCGCCUGCGACGUCGCACAAUCGUCGUCGACGACUGUUGUCACCGUCAUUCUCGAGCCCACGCAGCCGCUCCUCACCAAGUCCCUUCACCAGAGUUUGCCGACGACGCUCCAGCUCCGCCUUGUCGUGAUGAAAAUCAACGCCAUGCAGACAUCACCAUUCUUCGAUGGUACACCGCUGCCUCGUCAAGUUGUAUGCCCUGGACCCCUGUGCUGUGCCGCAACGCCGACGUCAAAGCCCGCCUCAGCAUCCCUUCUCCGUGCUUGAAGCCCCGUGAUCAUCGUUCCUUUCUCUCCUGCACGUCGAAAUUAAAAGGUAGAAGGUCAUAUUUAUAAUCUACCCUCUAGACGCUAUGGUUAAUAGUGUAUUAAUUCCUGCGGCAUUGAUUUCUAAAUAAAUGUUUGUCCAAAUAAAUUGAGUAUUAUUUUGUUAGCUUGUGUUAGUGCGUAAACCAUUUUAAAUUUAUAGGUUGCAACAAUUUACAUAUUUUUUUGUAAAUUAAUUAGAACCAUGUUUGAUACAAUCGAUUUGUAAGUAGUUUUCAAGUUAAGAAAUUAAAUAUAUACAUAUAUAGUUUUUAUGUUUUUUAUAUAAAAGAUAAGAGAUAUGUUGGGGACUUGUUCUCAAAUGCUUAGAAUUAAGAACAAGGCAACAUAAAAUGUUAAAUGUUAAUGUCCUUCGUCUAUGAAACAUUAUUCUCUUUGAGAAUAAUGGAUCCUAGACGAAGGUUGAUAAAAGCAUAAUUACGAAGCUCGAACCUUCGUAAUAAAAUUUCGGUAAAGAUUAUAAAAUGACAUAAAAUAAAAGGUAUAAGAGGAAUAAAUAUGUCAUAAAUGAAUUACAUUGCAUUUAUUUAAUAUACAGAAUCAUUGAAUACAAUAAUACCUUUGCCUUGGCAAAGAGUUGAAUUCCGAGAGAUGCGAUUGCAAUUAAUCGAAUGCCCGAACAGUAACGGAAUACUGUUCACUAUUUAUAGGCACAGGACGCAGCCUGUGAGGAAUUACAAAUAUGCCCCUUAUAAAAACUUACAACAUUGACUCAGACCUUUAUGGACUAAAAGGUCAUUCUAUGUUUAAGUCGGUUUGUAAUGCCGAAGCUUUACGAAGAGGAACCUUCGGCUAUCUUAUACAAACAGCUUCAUCCGAGGACCACUUCUUUCUACAAGACCUUCGGCGACGAAGCAUAGACCCAACAGUAGCCCCUUUCGCGGUGCUAGAUCGUUUUUCGUAACGAGCUUGAUCCGUGAAAAAAAAGUUUCUUCGGCUUCGGAGCGCCGAAGGUCUCAAAAACACCUUCCCUGAGCUCGUUGUCGAGAAACGAUUCAAUCUUCCGGCGCGUAGCGGCCCCACCUUGCAGAGUUACUGUUCGAUCUCUGCGGUCCACCGUACAGCGAGUGCGAGUGGAUGUCCGCCUGGUGUAAAACUUCUGGUGCUUCGCCUUCUUACCUGCGGCACUAUAUAAACAGACGAGUAGGUGUGAAGUUACCACAGCAUUUACUGCUAUUUGCACUGUUUUGCUACCAAAAUUUUUAACCGUCGCCGAAGCUUGUUUGUCGGAAUCGAACGAAGCUCCAUCUUGAAACCUGCUUCGGAGGAAAAAAAGUAUUAAAGUUUCACAAGUUCAUAGUUUAAUGGCCAGAGUCCGUUCUACCGCCAGGGUUGAGCGUGAGGGGGACGAAACUGAAGCUUCGGAGACUGUCCCUAUCUCCGAAGCCAUGCAACGAUCCGGGCUAGUGACUUCGGAAAAGAUUCCUAUUAAUGAUGCAGAACAGGCAAUCGCUGAAGCAGAAGGAGAAGAUGCUGAGGAAACUGACCCCGAAGAUGAUUAUCACCUUGCCACGCCAAGCAAACCCAGCCAUUUGGACUUCGGGAAAUCUACUGUUUCGAAGACUGAUCUGUCCAAGAUGGUAAAGUCAGGCUAUUUUACUGAAAAUCAAAAGAAGCUGUUACGCUUCGGGGGAGAAGAGACUACCCCAAAGCCGGAGAAAGAUGAAAUUGUUAUUUUUAAAAGCUUCCUAAAGGCUGGAUUAAGAUUCCCCCUUCAUGGGAUUAUUGCAGAGAUACUGAAGAAUUUCGGAAUCUAUUUUCACCAGCUAACCCCUAACGCUAUCGUUAGGCUUAGUGUUUAUAUCUGGGCACUCCGAAGCCAGGCGGUGGAACCGUUUGCGGACAGCUUUUGCCGAGUUCAUGAACUGCACUAUCAGACAAAGGCUAGAAAGGAUGGAUUACAUGACAAUUUUGGUUGCUAUAAUUUUGCGUAUCGGAAAACUACGAAGUAUCCUGUGAUCAGCUACCGAAGCAAAUGGGCAGCAGGGUGGAAAUCGGAAUGGUUCUAUGUUAAGGUUGAUGACGAUAAGGAAAAGCUUGUGCAAAGUCCACUCGAACUAACCUUCGGAGAAACCCGCCCCCAGUGCCACAUGUUACCAGAGGGUCCGACUCAAAAAGCAAUGUAUGAAUUCAAAAUAAUUGCAGAGAAUAUCAGUACAAGGGACCUGGUCCAGGAGUUUUUGGCUUUCAAGGUUUUUCCUAGUGUAAAAGAGUGGGAAAUGCCGAAGCUGAAGGGGGAGAAGAAAAAAGGUGAACUUGUACGUUUGCCUUACCACUUCAAAUUUAAGAAAUACUUUAAAACUCCUUGCCAAGAGUGGCUGGAUACGAUUGAAGUGAUGUGCAACGAGAUACUUGGCAAUUAUUCCAAAAAAGAAGAUCAAUUGAUGACCGCAGCCUUCGGCACUCGUCUAAAACGAAGGCUGAAUCGAGUGUUGGACGCCUUGGGCUUCGAAUACCCAGACUACGAAAAUCUGAACAAAGGUGCCGGAGGCCAAAAAAGGAAAAGGGUAACUGAAGCCUUAGAUGAAGGUGAAAAAGAGCCAAUAAAGAAGAAAAUUCCAAAGAAAAGGAAAGCUUCUUCUCCGAAGCAACAAAUAUUCGAAGCAGAAGAAACCCCCGCAUCACCUUCUGCUGCUGUUGUUGAGGAAAUUCUGAAGGUAAUGACUGAAUCCUUACCUGCGAAGCUAAGUCCACUGGGUCCUCAACUGACAAAGUUUUUUCAGAAGGACAAGGAGCCCGAGAAAUCGAGGAAAACAAUCAAGGCAAAGAAACAAAGAAUCAUUACCGUGACAGAGGUAAUUGACAAAACGCCGCCAAGAGCUUCGGCCCAAAAAACACGAGCGGCUGCAGAGGGGGCAGAUAUUGAAAUUGAACCUUCGGAGGCCGCAGCCGCCGAAGUUGCCUCAGCUGAAGAUUUGAAUUUGGAGAGCACAAUUGAACAUAUUGACCAAAUGCUGCUAGACAUGGCUGCAGAAGAAGCUACCACUGCUGCCGAAGAGGCCGUGACCGCAGCGUCAAAGAAAGGAAAAGAAAUUGCUGAUGAAGCUCCAGAAAACGAAGCCUUCGCGUUCCAAAACUUAGUUGGAGACCAUCUAUCAAAAGCUGAAAUAGAAGAGCUUAAAGAGUAUGCCCAAUCCUGUGGAUACAAACCUGGGGCACUCCUCUUCGGAGGCGUUGAUGAUGAGAAAUUAGAGUGUAUUCGAGACCAAACAGGGGCCAAAGUUAUCAGUACUCUGUCCAAAAGUAUUGGAUUCCCGAAGCUAGAAACAGACAUCAGCCGCUACCGACGACAACAUGUCGUUGGUAGUUUAUUUUACUCCAACUUCAAGGUGAAUAACUUGUCCCUUAACUUUUAUUGCUUUUAAUAAAAACAUGUCUGACGAAGGUUGUGUUUGUGUAGAGUAUGCUAUUGAGCAAAGCCUUGCAAAUGCAGCAAGAUCUUGAAGAUAAAAAGCAUGAAGUUAUAAUUGGAAAUUUGGAAAACAAAAUAAAGGAGCAAUCAGAUGCUUUUGAGAAAAAGAACUUUGAGCUCCAGGCAACCGAAGGCUUACUGGCGAAAGCUGAAGCAAAAAUAUCAGAACUGAACACGAAGCUUCUCCGCCAGUCUGAGCAGUUCGAACGAGAAAAACAAGAUCUCAACGCAAAACUUGAAGCCGAAGCUCAGCAAAAUUCGGAUUUGAGAAAACUACUGACAAGUCUUCAAGAAAAAUGCUUGGAAUUUAGCAACAAAUGCAUUCAACGAUUAAGAAAGAUUUUUUACUCAGUUGGAGCCAGCAGUGAAAAAUUUACCCCCUCAGCUGAAGAUCUACCGAAAACCUUCGAACAUAUUGAGGGGGAGAUUGACGAGCUCGACGAAGUCAUAGCUGGGCAUGGUGACUUCUGUGCCUGGGUGGCUUCUCGAGGGACUGCUGCAGCCUUCCUGAAGGCUGGCUGUGAUCAUGGGAAGAUUGUCAAUAGGCCAAAUUUCACUUUAUCACCAUCAAUCCUGGACGACAUUCCUGAUCUUGCCCGAAGUAUCUCGAACAGAUUUGUAAAAAUGAUAUGGACAAAAGGAGGGCGAGAGAAGGCUGGAGACGAAGCUCGUAGCCACCUUGAACCAGUAAGAAAUCAUACCUUAUGCUUACUUUUUCUUGUAAGCUUGAUUUUGACUUACAACAACCUUAUUCAUGUAGGAUGACGAAGCCGAAACCGAAGAUCAAGAAUGACGCCGAAGCCGAAGCUCCUUGGGGAUUAGAUAGUAGUCUGUAGACAGUACUUGAAAAACUUUUGAGAUAACUUUUGUAAAUGUAACCAAAACUUGUCUUUAAUGAAUUCUGUUCAUACCUUAUGAGAAAUGCUUUGAUGUGGACGAAAUUUCCUUUUGAGCCGAAGGCGAAAAAACACCUUCCCUUCUUUUCGUACGCAGCGAAGCAUAGAAAACAACAUUUUCCUUUCUUCUUUGUGCACGAAGCUCUUUUUUCCCUUUCUUUUUUCUCUUUUUGCCGAAGCAACCAUUUAUGCGAUGAAGAUGAUUAUCCUACAUAUGCCUAGAUGAAUGUUUAUGAAUGCAAAUGCUAUGAUGUAAUGUGAUGUGCAAAUGAAUGGCCAAACACGUAUCCGAAGCCAUAUUCAUAGCCAUUAUUUUCUUGAAAACAAUCACACCUCAGCUCUACAUUCCCUUAGGAACGACUUUGGAGCUUCUUCGCCUUUACUUUUGGCGGAAUCAGCGUUGACUUUUCGCUGUAAGCUCUGCAUUCCCUUAGGAACGACUUUGGAGCUUCUUCGCCUUUACUUUUGGCGGAAUCAGCGUUGACUUUUCGCUGUAAGCUCUGCAUUCCCUUAGGAACGACUUUGGAGCUUCUUUGCCUUUACUUUUUGGCACUCGAUGGUGCGCUCUCAGCUUUUACAUUUACAUUCUUUGGGGGAUUUUGCUCUUAUAGAACUAAAAAAGGAAAUUACAUAUGCUGGCCCCAUUAAAAACCUUUCUCCCCCUUUGGAAAGGAAAAGGGUGCCAUGAAAGAAAAAAUAAAAAAUAUGAAAAAUUACAUUGAAUUAUACAUAAUAUCGCCGAAGCUCAUCCGCAUUCCAAGACCUAGGAAUGUCAUUGCCGUCCAUAUCUUUCAAUCUGUAUGAACCGGGUCUUGACGAAGAUGCUACUAAGAAAGGUCCGUCCCAUUUCAACUGCAAUUUGCCCACUGUUUCUGGGUUGGCCACCCUCCGAAGCACCAAGUGCCCUGGCUCAAUAUUUUUUAGCCGAACCUUUCUAUCCCGCCAUUUGACUGUUUCAGCUUGAUAUUUAUUGAUAUUCUCCACGGCUUGCAGUCUGAUCCCUUCUAAAGCAUCUUUUUCUAUAGAAUAAGCAGCUUCGGAAUCUGAUUCUGCCGAAGCUACUAUCCUUAUUGAUCCGGUUUUAGCUUCCUCUGGAGUUAUUGCUUCGUCACCGAAUAACAACUUGAAUGGAGUGAAGCCUGUAGACCUUGAUGUUGUCGUGUUGUGGCUCCACACCACUUUGGUUAGCUGAUCUGGCCAUUUUCCUCUGGGUUGAUUGAAGAUUAGCUUCAUUAUUCCUGUCAUUAUAAUGCCGUUGGCUCUUUCAACGAGUCCAUUUGACUCCGGGUGCCUGACUGAUGCAAAAUGAAUCUUCGUACCAAUUUGGUUACAGAAGUCCCUGAAAGCUUCGGAGUCAAACUGUGUCCCAUUGUCCACAGCGAUGGCCUUUGGCACCCCGAAACGACAAACAAUAUUCUGCCAGAAAAACUUUUGGACGGUGGCCGAAGUUAUUGUGGCUAAAGGCUUCGCCUCAAUCCAUUUAGAAAAAUAUUCCACAGCUACUACAACAUAUCUCAGGUUCCCUUGGGCCGGUGGUAACGGACCUAACAAGUCAAGGCCCCACCUUUGCAAUGGCCAAGUGGGUUGUAUGAGCUGUGUUAAGGACGAAGGUUGUUUUUGAUCUCUUGCACAUUUCUGACAACCUUCGCACUUUUGAACCAAUUCUGCUGCAUCCGAAGCUGCCUUCGGCCAAUAAAACCCUUGGCGGAAAAUUUUUCCAAGUAACGGCCUAGAUCCGAUGUGAGAUCCACACAGGCCUGCAUGUAUUUCUUUCAUUAACUCUAUACCUUCGGUUCUGGAUAAACAAUUGAGCAACGGGGCACAAACUCCAUGUUUGUACAACUCCCCUUCUAUCAUGACAUAUGGACGAGCUCUUGCCUCUAUCCUCUUGUUAUAAGCUUCGUCAUCUGAAAGGAAUUUACCCUGAAGGUAAGAGAUGAUCUCGGUUCUCCAAUCUUCGCUAAAAACAGGAGAUAUAUUAAGAACUGCUCUUUCAAGAAGUUCCACCGAAGGUGCUUUUAUUGUUUCGAAGAACACAUCCGAAGGUAAAGGCAGCCCCUGUGCUGCUGACUUAGCUAGCAAAUCAGCAUGCUCAUUUUGUCCUCGAGGGAUAUUUUUGACAGAAAACCCUUCGAAGGAAGCUUCAACUCUUCGAACCAUAUCCAGAUAUUUUUCAAGCUUCGGAUCCUUAGCCUUGCAACUUUUGUCAAUAUGACCCGAAACAACCUGGGAAUCAGUUUUAAGUAUGGCCCUUCUGAUUCCCAUUGCUUUUAACUUCCGAAGACCUAGAAUCAAUGCUUCGUACUCAGCAAUGUUAUUUGUGCAAUUAAAAUCAAGCUUUGCCGCAUAACAAGUUUUGACUUUGGAAGGUGAAACCAACACAGCAGCCGCUCCUGCUCCGAAGGUUCCCCAAGAUCCAUCACAAAACACUGUCCAAGCUUCGUUGUCUUUAUUCGUUUCCUCCUCCUGAGCCCCUGGCGUCCAAUCAGCAAUAAAGUCUGCCAGCGCCUGUGACUGAAUCGAAGAUCUAUGAACAUAUUCAAUACAAAAUUCAUUGAGCUCUGCAGCCCAUUUUCCAAUCCUUCCAGUAGCUUCUCGGUUCCUCAUGAUAUCCUUCAGAGGUUGUGAUGAAGGAACAAUUAUGUUGUAAGCUUGGAAAUAGUGCCGAAGCUUCCUGGAGGCCAUCAAGACAGCAUACAAUACCUUCUCCAGCUCUGUAUAAUUUUUCUUUGACAAACUAAGAACCUCGGAUACAAAAUAUAUUGGGGCCUGCCUCUUGACUUGACCAUCAAGCUUCUCCUGGACAAGCGCUGCACUUACCGCUGAGUGCGAAGCUGCCACAUAUAAUAACAAAGGAGCCCCUGGCAUUGGUGGAGUCAAUGUUGUUAGAUCUAUUAAAUACUGUUUUAGCUCUUCAAAAGCCUUCUGCUGGAUUGGUCCCCAUUGAAAGACUUCGGCUGACUUCAGCACUUCGAAGAAUGGUAAGUUUCUCUCUGCUGAUCUGGAUAUGAAUCUAUUGAGAGAUGCCAAUCUUCCUGCAAUCUUUGAGCCCCCUUCUUUGUAGUUGGUGGCUCCAUCCGAAGUAUAGCUUCAAUUUUACUUGGAUUAGCUUCAAUUCCCUUUGUUGAAACCAAGCAUCCAAGAAAUUUCCCCUUCUUUACCCCGAAGACGCAUUUUUCUGGAUUUAAUUUUAAGUCGGCUUGCCUGAAACUGGCGAAGGUCUCCUGCAGAUCAGCAAUAUGAUUCUCCUGCUUCGUGCUUUUGACAAUGAUGUCAUCAACAUAAGUUAGCACGUUUCUGCCUAUUUGAGAUUGGAGAACCUUCGCAGUCAUUCGGCUGAAACUUCCUCCAGCGUUUUUGAGCCCCUCAGGCAUCCGAAGAUAGCAAUAUGUGCCACUUGGAGUUAUGAAGCUAGUCUUCGGCUCAUCUUCCUUCUUCAUCCAAAUUUGGUGAUAGCCUGAAUAGCAGUCUAACAGACUCAUGAGCUCUGAAGAAGCUGCUGCAUCAACUAAAGAGUCUAUCCUUGGUAGUGGGAAUUCAUCCUUCGGACAAGCCUUGUUAAGAUCUGUAAAAUCGAUGCACAUUCGCCACUUGCCAUUGGCCUUUUUUACCAUAACAGUGUUAGCCAGCCAUUCUGGGUACUUCACUUCUCUGAUAACUCCUGCACUGAGGAGUCUUUUGACUUCGUUGCGAGCACCUUCGGCCUUAUCAUCUGACAUUUUCCGAAGCCUUUGCUUUCUGGGUCUGAAGGAUGGAUCGACAUUGAGCGAGUGCUCAAUAACAUCCCUAUUAACUCCGCAUAGAUCAUUGGCUGACCAUGCAAAAACAUCUUUGUUAUUGAACAAAAACCUUAUCAAGGUUUUUUCCUGCUCUUCGGAUAAUUGAGAGCCUAACAGCACCUUCUGCUCUGCUAUGUCCUCACAUAAGAGCAUAGGCUUCGGCUGAUCUGCUGAAGCUGCUUUCUCCCUUCUGAAUUUGUACUGUUCACAAGCUUCAGCUCCAUCUAUGUUAUGGAUUGCUUUUGAGUCAGUCCAAUUGCCUUCGGCCCUUCUUGCAGCUUCCUGACUUCCAUGGAUAGCAAUGGGUCCCUGAUCCGAAGGUAUCUUCAUGCAAAGAUAGGCAGGAUGAAGGAUUGCUUCAAAGGCAUUGAGAGUACCACGACCAAUAAUUGCAUUGUAAGGGUAUUCCAUGUCAACAAUGUCAAACACAACUUGCUCAGUUCUAGUGUUGUUGAUGAACCCGAAGGUCACUGACAUGGUGAUCUUGCCCAGUGCUACUAUCUGUCUUCCUCCGAAGCCACAGAGAGGAUGUGUAGCAUCAUGAAUCUUAUCUUCUGACUCUUGCAUUUGUCUGAAGGCUUUAGCAAAUAUGAUGUCAGCUGCACUGCCUGUGUCAACCAAGACAUUGUGGACCAGAAAUCCUUUGAUAACACAAGAGAUAACCAUGGCAUCGUUAUGUGGGUAAUCUUUGAGCUGAAGGUCCUCUUGGGAGAAGGUAAUAGGAAUGUGAGACCAUCUUGACUUGAUGAAGGGUCCUUGCACCCCAACAUGCUGUACCCUUCUCUGUGCUUCUUUCUUCUGUUUCUUGUUAGCUGGCUCUGAGGACGAGCCACCUGUGAUCGGGAGCACCAGCUUCGGGUCCGAAGCAGCUCCAGCUUGGUUGUUGAACGAAGCCAUCAGCUCAAAAAGUGGAAGUGAGUUCACCGGAGGUGGGCGCCAAUGUUGGGGACUUGUUCUCAAAUGCUUAGAAUUAAGAACAAGGCAACAUAAAAUGUUAAAUGUUAAUGUCCUUCGUCUAUGAAACAUUAUUCUCUUUGAGAAUAAUGGAUCCUAGACGAAGGUUGAUAAAAGCAUAAUUACGAAGCUCGAACCUUCGUAAUAAAAUUUCGGUAAAGAUUAUAAAAUGACAUAAAAUAAAAGGUAUAAGAGGAAUAAAUAUGUCAUAAAUGAAUUACAUUGCAUUUAUUUAAUAUACAGAAUCAUUGAAUACAAUAAUACCUUUGCCUUGGCAAAGAGUUGAAUUCCGAGAGAUGCGAUUGCAAUUAAUCGAAUGCCCGAACAGUAACGGAAUACUGUUCACUAUUUAUAGGCACAGGACGCAGCCUGUGAGGAAUUACAAGUAUGCCCCUUAUAAAAACUUACAACAUUGACUCAGACCUUUAUGGACUAAAAGGUCAUUCUAUCUUUAAGUCGGUUUGUAAUGCCGAAGCUUUACGAAGAGGAACCUUCGGCUAUCUUAUACAAACAACUUCAUCCGAGGACCACUUCUUUCUACAAGACCUUCGGCGACGAAGCAUAGACCCAACAAGAUAGUUAUUUAUAAUGACAUAUGUACAGAAACAUACAGGUUUACUAGAUACCCCUGCUAGUCUACCUUUAUUUAUGUGUAGGUCCUUGUUACAGUUUUUAUUAUAAAAUGUAUAUUAGAAACCCGAAUAAAAUAGAAACAGUUUCGUUAGUUUCAUAAUUAUAUGAUAAGCAUUUUAAUUAGUGUUGCCAACAGUUAACAUAUUUUCAUAGUUUAAUUUGAUUUACGGUUGUUAUGCAUUAAAUAUUAUAAUGACCUUUUUAAUAGAUAUCAUGUUUUCAAUGUUCAUUAUAGAUGUUUAAGUAUAGCCAUCUUAAAUAGAAAUUUAAAAGAAACUAUAGACCGUAUGUUUCAUAAUAAAAUAAAAGACGAGUAAUUAUAUUUAUCCAUAAAGUAUAAUUUAGUUUUAUAUUCAAGUUUUAUGCAUGUGUGUGGGGGACAGAUAUCCCCCGGGUCCACUGGAAGGAUAAAAGACCUCACGAAAGGCCCAAGGGCCCAAUAGAUCAUAAGGUCACUCCUUCAUGGGCCUGGGGAGGAACAAUCAGUAAAGCAGAUCGACAUAAGGCCGGGUCGGUGCAAGCCCGGACGGCCCCACAACGUUGAGCAAGCAACCACAACAGAAGAUCCGACUUUCCCACGCUGGAGCCCCGUACAACGGAACCAGGCGAGGAUAAGUCGGCAGAACUAUAGGAACAUAGACUCAAACAGUUCACUAUCUUUUAGGUGCACAUUGUUAUCACAUUCACAUGUAUUGCCUCACGGUCGAAUAUAUAAGGCCUAGGGGGCACCCCUUCAAGACGAUCGAUCCCACUACUCAGCCAUCCACCCCAACUCUCUACGUUCUAGCUUUAGAGAGCUCCCUUGUAACCCAUUACAUAAAGCAUACUCGCCAGGACGUAGGGUGUUACGCAUCUCAAAGCGGCCCGAACCUGUAAACAUUGUCCAUCGUUCCUCGUGCAUCUGGCACGAACCAUUUAGCUACAGUCGGCGACACCGUCCUACUCCUAAAACACCUUGAGGGGCAACCCCCGGUGUGCGGUCGGACCCAAAACACCGACAGUUGGCGCGCCAGGUAGGGGGUGUGUCGCCGAUCUAAGCUAGCUCAAUGGCCGUCACCUUCCACCGCAAGAUCACCCUCCGUCCCGGAUCUGUAUUCUGCUUUGGAACAAUCUCAUCCGUAGCAGAUGAAGAGGGAACUCUACACCGCAUUGCAGAUCCGCCAAAGAAGAAGUCUCCUCCAACAAACUCCAAGAAUAUCGGAGUAAGGAAAGAAAAAGCGCAGCCUCCAGCGCUCCGAAAAAAGAUCGCCUUCAGCAAGCCAGGGGCCGAGGGCCAGCUGACCCGGAGAACUCCACUGUCUACUUCCCCGACGAAAGAAUGGACACAAAUCGCAAGGAAGAAAGAGACCGGGAGGAAGCAAGUCGUUCUUUCCGAGCCUCCGGCCUGAAAGGAGAACGGAAAGAAGAUCGCCACGACAGCCGCACCAUUCUACCCCGACGUUCUUUUCAUCGGGAGAGUGGAGUCGCCCCCCGUCUCCGACGACGAGCCGACCGCGCCCGGAGAAGAACCACCUCAGCGGGAGUCCCGUCGACGGAGAAAUCGGCGCCGAAACAUCCGGCGACAUCACGAGGCCGGAGAGCGGGAUCCAGAGCAGCCUGUCUCGCGAGACGAGGUCUCAGAGAUAGGAGAAACUCCGGAGGAAUGCGUCUUCAGAGAACGAAGGAACUCCAGACGGCGUGAUCGCCGACGAACUCAGGAACAAGCCGAGCAUGAUGCAAGGUAACGUCGGGAAAAUCCACUCUUCGGGCGCAACCUGAAUCCCGACUUCGCCAGAGCCAUGAACACGCCGAGUGAAGUUGGAGGGGUACUAGCUCGUAUAGCUGACGGAAUCCCUCGGACUCCCGACACCGAGGGCUAUCGGCGACUGUUUACCCAGGCAGCCAACCAUCUUCUACCCCUUUCUCACCCGCCGAACGACCUGCGAUACGCCAUCAACAGUCGCCGGGGCGCGCGAAGCUCCAUCAAUGCUUCGCGUGAACGACGACAUGAGAACGAGAUCCGCCGCCGGGAGGAGUACGACAGGGAUCAUGGCAUCCCAGCUCGGAGUCAGGCCACCUGAACCGAGUCAGCGACGGCCUCGACUGGCGGUACUACCCGGGGACGGUCGAGGAACCACAACAACUACUCCCCUCCCCGGGACAAACAUCAUCCCCGACGACAGGAAGACACGUGUGGAGUGUCUGCCCUUACUCCACGCCUUAGGGCCAUUCAAUGGCCCCCUAACUUCAAGGUAUCCAAUGUCGACAAAUAUGAACCUAAGAAGGAUCCAGGGGGCUAGCUGGCCGUCUACACCACCGCCGCUCGAGCCGCCGGAGCGUCCGAGGACGUGAUGACUGCAUACUUACCCAUUGUCCUCGGGCAAGACGCACUACAAUGGCUGCGACAUCUACCCCGGCACUGCAUCGACGACUGGAGCGACUUCAGUCGAUGCUUCACCGCCAACUUUCAGUCCCUCUCCGACAAACCAGCGCAACCAUGGGACCUCAAAUCCAUCAAGCGCCGGGGGGACGAAACUCUCCGGUCGUACCUCAAAAGGUUCCAGACCAUGAGAAAUCGUAUCCCCGAGGUCACGGAGGCGGACGUGAUCGAGGACUUCUACAGAGGAUCCAAAGACUCGGCCUUCGUCCGAGCCAUAUUACAGAAGACGCCGACUACCUCCGAGCAGCUGUUCCGGGAAGCCGACCUCUACAUCACCGCCGACGAGCGAGCUCAGGACCUCAUCGGGGGAGCGAAGCCCGCACCGGCAGCACCACGACAUGACGCGAACCAGCAACCCGACAAACGCUGGGAGAAGAGACCUCGCGAAGAAGUGCACGCCGCCGGACCACCUGCCUCUCGCGCCCGGGGAGGACCUCGCGGAGGCGAGCGCACGCUGGACGACAUCCUCGACGCCCAGUGCAAGUACCACAAGGACAUGUGCCACACCCUUCGGAACUGCAGGGACUUCAAGCACUCCGUCGGACACGGCCGGCCCUUCCAACCUCUACCUCCUCCUCCACCGCGGGGAGGACCAGAAGAACCACGACAACCCCAGCAGCAGGAGGAGGGAGGAGGAGGAGCCUUCCCACGCGUUGACAGGGAGGUCAACGUCAUCUUCGGCGGACACGGAUCACAGGAGAACAGAAGCCAACAAAAGCUCAACGAUCGCCAGAUAUUGGUGGCGACCACCGGUCCUCCCGCUCCGUACCGAUGGUCGGAGCACCCGAUCACCUUCACUCGGGCAGAUCAAUGGCUCAACUUCGACCACCCAGGCAAAUACCCUCUCCUCGUCGAUCCGGUGAUCCGAGAGAGCAGGGUGAAGAAGGUGUUAGUGGACGGGGGGAGCAACAUCAAUGUCACCUUCCCCCGGACACUCCAAGGCUUGGAAGUUCACCUCAAAGAGCUCCACGAGUCAGAUACUCCUUUCUUCGGCAUCAUGCCGACUGAAGGGGAAUACCCGCUGGGCCCCAUCUACAUGCCCGUCACCUUCGAAACUCCGGAGAACUACAGAACCGAGUUCCUGAGGUUCGAAGUGGCGAACUUCGACUGCGGGUACAACGCCAUUAUCGGGAGGCCGGGAUUGGCAAAAUUCAUGGCCAUUCCGCAUUACACGUACAUGAUAUUGAAGAUGCUAGGACCACAAGGAAUCAUAACUGUACGCGCUGACUUCCAAGGCGCCGCAGAAUGUUUCCGAGUGGCCAUCCAGGCGGCCCUCGCCACCAAACCGUCGACAACUUCUUCAACGCCGGCAAACUCUAAGCCUGAGGAAGACCUUGCGCCACCGGCAAAUGAAGCUCAAGCCGCGACCUCCAUGCGGCCGACUGAAGAAACCAAAAGGAUCAACCUGGGGUUCACUGAUGAACGCAAGACUGCCAUCAUCAGCUCCAGCCUGGAUGAUAAAUAGGAAGGCACGCUCGUCCAGUUUCUGCAAGAUAACUGAGACGUAUUCGCAUGGCAACCUGCAGAUAUGUCGGGAGUCCCGAGAGAACUGGUCGAGCACAAACUGAAGGUCUAUCCCCAGGCGAGGCCGAUCCGGCAAAAACUACGUCGCUUAACGCCCGACAAGAGAGAGGCCAUUCACGCUGAGCUGGCUCGCUUGGUCGCGACUGUGUUUAUUAGAGAGGUGUUACAUCCCGAGUGGUUAGCCAACCCUGUUCUUGUACUCAAAAAGAAUAAAGUGGAUUGGCGCAUGUGCGUCGACUAUACGGAUCUCAACAAACAUUGUCCAAAGGAUCCCUUCGGGCUCCCUAGGAUAGAUCAGGUGGUAGACUCCACCGCUAGGUGUUCUGUGCUGUCUUUCCUGGACUGCUAUUCCGGAUAUCAUCAGAUUAGCUUGGCAAAGUAAGACGAGGAAAAAACAGCGUUCAUCACUCUGUUCGGUGCUUUCUGCUAUACCUCCAUGUUGUUUGGCCUCAAAAACGCUGGAGCGACUUAUCAGAGAGCCAUUCAAACAUGCUUAGCCGAUCACUGAGGCAAGUGUGUGGAAGCCUAUGUAGAUGAUGUGGUAAUCAAAACGGAGAACUCAGAAAACUUCAUCGAAGACUUACAACUGGUUUUCAGCAGUCUACGACGAUAUCGAUGGAAGCUUAAUCCCGAAAAAUGUGUCUUAGGGUACCAGGAGGAAAGCUACUCGGAUUUAUUGUCAGCCACCGAGGAAUUGAAGCUAAUCCGGAUAAGAUUGAAGCUAUCAUGAAAAUGGAGGCACCACGGUCACAAAAGAAAGUUCAGCGACUUACUGGAUGUAUGGCAGCCCUGAGCAGAUUCAUAUCCAGGCUGGGAGAAAAAGGUUUACCAUUUUACAAGGUACUCAAGAAAGUGGAUAAGUUUCAGUGGACUUCAGAAGCACAGGAAGCCCUAGAUGCACUGAAAAAAUUCUUGACGACACCACCAGUGCUGAAGCCGCCGCGGCGAGCCACGUCAACUCAACCAGCUGAAGACUUGCUGCUGUAUAUCUCUUGCAUGACUCACGUGGUAAGCACCGCGUUGGUAGUCGAGCGAUCCGAAGAAGGACAUGCCUACCCAGUGCAGCAUCCUGUUUAUUUCAUCAGUGAAGUUCUGGGUCCCUCAAAGAAAAAGUACCCUCAAGUUCAGAAGCUAUUAUAUGCAGUACUUCUAACUGCCCACAAGCUACGUCACUACUUUGACGACCACAAAGUCAUAGUGGUCACUGGUUUUCCGAUAGGGGAUAUUCUUCACAACAAGGAAGCCAUUAGCCGAAUAGCCAAGUGGGCCUGUGAACUGGGAUCUCAUGACAUCGAAUUCCGACCUCGCACGGCCAUCAAAACUCAAGCGUUGGUUGACUUCGUAUCAGAAUGGACUGAACAACAAGUACCAGACAACCUAGAAACUGCAGAGGUAUGGCAAAUGUAUUUUGAUGGCUCGCUGAGGCUGCAGGGAGCAGGCGCGGGAAUUCUCUUCACUGCACCUGGAGGCGAGCACCUCAAAUAUGCCCUCCAGUUGCUAUUUCCAGCCUCUAAUAACGCAGCCGAGUAUGAAGCUCUAAUUCAUGGACUGAACAUUGCUAUAUCACUAGGCAUCAAGAGACUGAUGGUAUAUGGAGAUUAUUUGGUAGUCAUAAGCCAGAUAAACAAAGAAUGGGAUUGUUCAGGCGAUUUAAUGGGAAAGUACUGCACUGCCGUCCGAAAACUAGAAGAUAAAUUUGAAGGUCUGGAAUUUCAUCAUGUAGAAAGAGAUCGAAACACGGCAGCCGAUGUACUGUCCAAGCUAGGGUCCACUCGAACUCAGGUCCCACCUGGAGUCUUUGUACAAGAAAUAACACAACCAAGCAUCUCGAUGGAUCAGGCAGAAGAGUGUAAUAUCGUGAAUCAACCAGAGUCAGACUCUGAUGACUGGAGAAGGCCGAUCAUCAGAUAUAUAAAGAAUGAAGAGAAAUCAGAUGACAAAAAUGCAGCCGAGCGCAUCGCUAGACAGUCAGCUCACUACACACUCAUUGGGGAGGCAUUAUACAGAAGGGGUGCAUCGGGCAUCCUCAUGAAGUGCAUCCUCUCAUCUACUGGGAAGCGACUUCUAGAUGAGGUCCAUGCUGGGCAAUGUGGAAUACAUGCAGCAUCCAAGACGCUAGUCGGGAAGGUCUUCAGGUCAGGAUUCUAUUGGCCAACAGCGAAAAGUGACGCAACCGAGUUAGUUCAGAGGUGCGAAGCUUGCCAGUACUUGUCAAAGCAACAACAUCUACCAGCACAGCAACUGCAGACCAUACCAGUAACUUGGCCCUUCGCAUGCUGGGGACUGGAUAUGAUUGGACCUUUCAAGAAAACGCAAGGAGGAUACACUCAUGUACUUGUAGCAAUCGACAAAUUCACUAAAUGGAUAGAGUUCAAACCCAUUGCUUCUUUAACCUCAGCUAAGGCCGUGGAAUUCAUACAAGACAUAAUAUUCAGGUUCGGGAUACCGAACAAUAUCAUAACUGACCUAGGAUCCAACUUCACAAGUUCAGAGUUCUUUGAUUUCUGCGAGCAAAAAAGCAUUCAGAUCAAGUAUGCUUCAGUAGCACACCCAAGAGCCAACAGGUAGGUUGAACGAGCCAACGUGAUGAUAUUGGAGGCACUCAGGAAAAAAGGUCUUUGAUAAGAAUGAAAAGUUCACAGGAAAGUGGAUAAGGGAAUUGCCCUACAUCGUUUGGAGCCUAAGAACCCAACCUAGCCGAGCUCUGCAUGGAAACACUCCUUUCUUCAUGGUCUAUGGGUCAGAGGCGGUAUUACCCGCUGAUCUCAAGUUUGGGGCGCCAAGGUUGAUCUUCGAAAGCAUAGCAGAAGCCGAAGCUACUAGGCUGGAGGACAUUGAUGUACUCGAAGAAGAACGGCUGAAUGCGGUAAUUCAAUCAGCACGAUACCAGCAGACUCUGAGACGCUAUCACGACAAGGCCGUACGACAACGAUCCUUUUCAGUGGGAGAUCUCGUCCUCCGCCGAAUUCUAACGGGGGAAGGACGGCACAAGUUGUUACCCUCAUGGGAAGGACCAUUCAUAGUAGCAGAAGUCACUCGGCCGGGAUCAUAUCGUCUCACUCAAGUGGACGGCACAGAAAUUGGGAACUCCUGGAAUAUAGAACACCUCAGGAAGUUUUACCCCUAGCUGUAUUUCAAAAGCUAUCGGGACGAUAAUGUACUCUGUAAAACGGGAAAUGUGUCUUCAAUAAAAAGGGCUUCAAGAAUACUCAAUUUGUUCAUGAUUGACCGGCAUUCUUAUUUAACUCGGGGUGACCACUUUGCCCUGCUAAUGGAGCAAUCGGCUUAAGUUGGCAACGACUUAAGACGGUGCAACAUGCUCGUGCUUACUUAACUCGGGGUGACCACUUUGCACUGCUAACAGAGCAAUCGGCUUAAGUCGGCAACGACUUAAGACGAUGCAACAUGCUCGCGCUUACUUAACUCGGGGUGACCACUAUGCCCUGCUAACGGAGCAAUCGGCUUAUGUCGGCAACGACUUAAGACGGUGCAACAUGCUCGCGCUUACUUAACUCGGGGUGACCACUAUGCCCUGCUAACAGAGCAAUCGGCUUAAGUCGGCAACGACUUAAGACGGUGCAACAUGCUCACGCUUACUUAACUCGGGGUGACCACUAUGCCCUGCUAACGGAGCAAUCGGCUUAAGUCGGCAACGACUUAAGACGGUGCAACAUGCUCUCGCUUACUUAACUCGGGAUGACCACUAUGCCCUGCUAACGGAGCAAUCGGCUUAAGUCGGCAACGACUUAAGACGGUGCCACAUGCUCGUGCUUACUUAACUCGGGGUGACCACUAUGCCCUGCUAACGGAGCAAUCGGCUUAAGUCGGCAACGACUUAAAACGGUGCAACAUGCUCACGCUUACUUAACUUGGGAUGACCACUAUGCCCUAUUAACAAAAGCAAUCGAUUUAAGUCAGCAACGACUUAAGGCAACUUCACAUGCUUACGAUUACUCAUAUAGGGGUGACCUCUAUAUCCCGUAAACAAGUUUCAAAAUCAUCACACAACAUUUUACUCCAGCAAAUUUACGUACUACCGAAUUCUAAAACAAUAGGAGAAUAACAAUAUCAUUCAAAUGCCAAACUGGUGUCCGCUAACAGAUAUCCGAUCAUGAUAACCGCGCGCUCAAAGCACGCAAAUAUUUCUCUAUUUUGCAACAUCUUUCUCAGGAGCAACCGACGAAGAAGGGCGACUUGAGGAAUCAGGAGCAGCGUUCACGUCAGCCCUUAUAUCGUCGGGAACAACCACGUCGGGUCUCCUCAUCAAGAUUCGCCCCGCGCGAAUGGCUUUAUCCAUGGCUCUGUCGCGCUGGGCCCUCAGAGUAAUGGAUUUUUCUUCAGCAACUUUGGCAGCCAACUGAGCGUCUCUAGCUCCUGGGCGAUGGACUUCUUGGAAGCGCGCAGUUCUUUGAUAGCAGCAUCCUUAGCUGAUAUCAACUGCCUGAGACGGAUCACGUCAUCCAUGGAUUCCUGCAGCUUGCAACGAUGAUUGUCUAACUCCUCCAUGGUAAAUCGAUGGCUCCUCUCCAGGAUGGUCAACGAGUUGCUAGAAUCACGAUAUAGUCUGUCAAGAUUGUCGCGAGAAGCAACAAGGGCACGUUUUUCUUCCUACAAACAAGAAUCAACUCCUUCAAACAUCAAGCAAGCAAUAUGAACACAAUAAUACAAGGCACAGUUUCAUAAAUCACCUUUUCAGAAUCAAGAUGAGUGCGAAGAGUAGAGUUCACCGUGUUAGCGUCACUCAGAGCAGCAGAGACCUGGGCCAGCUCAGUGUGGCUUUGAGAAUACUUUUCCUCAAAAUCAGAACACCGCCGGACCAGUUCGGCCUGACCUUGAGAAUGUUUUUCUUCAAGAACGGAAAUCUGCCGAGCCAUAUCUGGCGAGAGACAAUCAAGCAAAAAGGGUCAAAGUGUAAUGCAGUUCAAUAAGGUAGACGAAGAGAAGCAAAAGAGCACUAACCAGCAUUUGUCGCCUCCAAGUCAGAGACACGAUGUUGAAGCAACACCGGAUUCCAACGUGCCAGAGACAAAGCUCCUUCUGGAACAGAAGCACCUUGCAACCUCAGCUGACUAGCCAUCUCGUCCACCAAUGCCUGAUAUGGAGAGUAGAUGAGUGUAAUGACAACAAUUUGUACGGUGUAAAAGUCAGGCUAGAAUAUAUCACAGUAUCUGGAGGUUGGAGAAGAACGAAGGGACUCCCAAAUCGUGAGAGAUUAAUUGAUGACUUGGCAUAGGGUCACCACCCGAAGCAGCUCGCAAUGAACCAGCAGGAACCAACUCAGUGCCAUCAACAGAGCCCAAAACUUGGUCGGCGGGAACGCUAGCCUCUAAAGCGACUCCCUGGCCCAAAGCUUGGGCUACCACCAUGCAACCAGAGUAUGGAGGAGAUCCUGCAUGAACAUCCAUACAAGUACAAGAGGGAGACCCCGCUCGGACACCCUCGGGGGCUGGGCCAUAGUUUGCGCUACCAACUUGAGCCGGAUCAUCUCUGGCAGUACCCUCGGGGGCUGGGCAUUGGCUUGCGCUUCCCACCCGAGCCGAAUCAUCCCCGGCAACAUCCUCGGGGGCUGGGUAAGUGUCAACACCAUCCUUGAGGACCAAGUUCUCUGCAGUAGCCGCCUCUAAGGCUGAGGGUUCCUCAGUUACUUCCAUGGGAACAAGACGAUCCAAGUCAGUUUCCUAACCCUCAAGACCGCGCUCUAAGGUCGAUGAGGCGCGGGACACUACCCGGGAUGACCCCAACCCGGUGUCGAGCACAUCAGCACAAACAUCCGUCGCACCAUCAUCCGCUGGCUCUGAUAACAGAUCCUCUGGAACCAUAUCUUCAAGAGUCUGAUCAAAGUUCGCCAGGGACAAUUCUUGUAGACCAAUGAGGGCAGACAGAGCAGGAGAAGGAACUCCACUACUUUCCCCACUGGCGACAUACUGCCGACUGUUCUUCCGAGUCAAAGGGACCUCAUCUUCUUCCUCCCCGUCGUUUUCAUCAACAACACAAACAACACCCCCAUUGGGAUCAGCAGCAGUUGGAGCACACCCAUUGGGAUCAGCAGCAGUUGGAGCAUACCCAUUGGGGUCAGCGUCAGUAAAUUCAGGCACAGACACUUCCUCAGCAGCAGGAACCGAAGGACCAACGUCCCGAUCCAAACUAGAAACUCGCCGAAGACGUCUCUUUUUCUUUUUCUGCUCAUCAGCAGGAGAAUCAAGUUGAUUGGCUCGGCAAGGGCGUCUCGGGCGAACACUGACAGGUCUCUGAAUAUCCAAGGUUGUACCAGCUUCUAGGAGAGGCGCCACCACCAAUGUCCCAGCAGGAGCAGCAUCAGAAGAGUCCUCAACCAGCAUAUCAAGCAUAGCACUUAUCUCUGCAUCACUAGGAUCCAAAGGCACCUCAAAGUGGACCUGUCGUUCAUCAUCAGGAAUUUCCCCGAGCGAGGCAAUCAAAGCGCUAACUUCUUCGGCAGAGGGUCGCACUCUAAGGCCCAAACCACCAUCAGCGACAGGUGGAUUCGACACAAAAAGAGUGAAGGCCUUGGAAGGAGGCAGGUUCCAGGCUGAGUAUGCCACUGGGGCACCAACAUUUGAUACCUUUCCUCUAAGAAUCAUUUCAAGUCGGUUCACCAAAUCUACAGCGGGAAUUCUUCUGUUGGUAACCCGAGUUGAGUCAGCUAGACCUCGGUACAGAUAAGCCGGGUAUGCCCUGUCCUUCAACGGCUGAAUGUUCUUGAAGACAAAAUCAGCAACCACAGCCUCUGCAGUCAGACCCCUCUCCUUUAGCAGUCCAACUUCAGCCAGCAAAGCCCCUGCCUCAGCCACCUCCUGAUCCGUGGGGGACUCGGUCCAACUCGGAGUGCGAACAUCCGGCUGUCUCCCCGACCGUGGGGGGAGAGAACUUCCGUGGUUCUCAACAAUAAACCACUCCAAGCGCCAUCCCUUGAUACUAUCCUUGAGAGGGAUUUCAAGAUAGUCAGUCUUCCUCCCACGGCGCAUCUCCAAACUAGCACCCCCAACCAGCUGAUGCUGCCCCCCGGCCAUCCCAGGGCGAAAGUGAUACAAGUACUUCCACAGUCCAAAAUGUGGCAGGACGCCAAGAAAAGCUUCGCAUAAAUGAACGUAAAUGGAAAUUUGCAGAAUGGAAUUGGGAUUCAGAUGGGUCAAAUUAAGACGAUAGAAAUCAAGGAUGCCGCGGAAAAAGGGAGAAAUAGGAAGAGCGAGACCGCGGAGAAGAAAAGGAACAUAAAUCACGGAUUCGUGGGUAUCCUCUGUCGGAACAGUGACCCCAUGGCAAAUCCGCCAAGAACAGAGCUCCCUCGGGGGAAGGACCCUGAUGGACACGAGAUGGAGAAGGUCAGGCUCGGAGACAAUAGACAUAUGGUUACCUGCGAAAGGCAACUGGCUGUUAGGGUCAAUUGGGGGAAUCACCACAGUAGAUGAACUCGAGGCCUUUCGCUUGGGCGCCAUCUCAGCUCCACUAGCGAACAGAUCGGGAGCCGAAUUGCAGAGAGGAUCUGGAGGCAGGAAAGCAAGAACUAGGGCGCGGAAAGCAGAGGCGGCUGAAAGCGCAGUACUUAUGGGAUAUUCCCAAGUCAGAUACCGUUUCCAAAAAGCGCCCAGUCAGCACCCGGCGGUUACUUCUAAAACACCAUCGUGUCAUGUCAUCACCCGGCGGUUACUUCUAAAACACCGGCGUGCCAUGUCAUCACCCGGCGGCUACUUCUAAAACACCGGUAUGCUACAUCAUCACUCGGCUAUUAUCCUCAAAGUGGCCGAUGCAGCCCGUUCUAACUCGGCUGUUAUUUCUAAAACACCGACGUUACCACCAGUCGCUCGGCAGUUAUCUCUAAAACGCUGACGUCGUCUUCAGUCGCUCGGCAGUUAUCUCUAAAACGCUGACGUCGUCUUCAGUCGCUCGGCAGUUAUCUCUAAAACGCUGAUGUCGUCUUCAGUCGCUCGUCAGUUACCUCUAAAACGCCAACGUCAUUUUCAGUCGCUUGGUAGUUAGCUCUAAAACGCCAACGUCGUUAUAAGUCACUCGGCUGCUACCUCUAAGAGCGCCGACGUGGUCAUCAAUCAUUCCGACGCUGGCGUGGUUUCGUCAUCACUCGGACGCUAUUUCAAAAGCGUAGAUGUUGACAAUAAUAGCUCGGCCAUCACCCCUAAAAGCGACGAUAUGACGCCCAAGUUACUCAGUCACUAUUCCAGAGGAAUCAAUUUCACAAAUAAGGCAAACGGAGGAAUGAUUCAAGAACUCUAAGUUAUGCCACAAACAUAACAGAUAGAGAACAUCAUGGGCAAUAAAUAUCACGACAGAGAUCAACUGACUACGAAGCAAAAUAAUCGACACAGAAGGAAACGAAAUCAUUCUUCAUUAAGGGAAGUUACAGUACUUACAAAUCAACUCAUUAUGAGUUGAUACUUCCCUACUGCUACUACUACUACUACGCUACACUAUACUACUCUACACUACUAAAUACUACUACAUUAUUUCAUUAUACUACUUCUAACCUAUACUAACAUCUAAAGACCAGUGGCAUCUAGCCACUGGCCUUGUUGCUACCCUUGCUGCUGCCGCCGCCGUUGCUGCCCCUGCUGCUGCCGCCGUUGCCGUCCUUGCUGCCGCCGUUGCUGCCCCUGCUGCCGCCGUCACCGUCAUCGUCGCCGUCGUCACCGUCGCCUCCGUCGUUGUCGUCGUCGUCUCCGCCAUCGCCGCCACCACUAGGGCUGGGCAUUCGGUUUUUUUUGAAAUUUCGGUUAGGUUUUUCGGUUUUAAAAAACUUCGGUUUUCUAGACAUUAGAAACCAAUCGGUUUUCUAGAAAAUGAAAACCGAAAACUUCGGUUUCGGUUUUUAACUUCGGUUUUUCGGUAAAAACCGAGUACCAAACUUAUACUCAAGACAACACAUACAACAAAUUUAUAUAAUAGAUUACACAUAAUUUUAAAAAGUAAAAAUUAUAUAGGUACAAAUAUUAAGAGAUUUAUCAUACAUCACAUAUAAAUAAGUGCAUAACAAUUUAAUUACUUCACACAUUUAGUUCACAUAAACGAAAAGUCAAAUUUUAGAAUUGAUAAAGUUUGGUAUUCGGUUUUUUGGUAUUUCGGUUCGGUAUACGGUGAAAACCGAUUACGAUACCGAAAACCGAACUUCUGAGAUAUAAAAACCGAAACCGAACCGAACUACCAAAAAAACCGAAAUUUCGGUUCGGUUCGGGACGGUUCGGUUCGGUUUUCGGUUUAUGGUAAAAAAGUGCCCACCCCUAGCCACCACCCUCCUCGGACGAGUCCUCCUCAUCUGAGGAGUACUCCGACUCAUCCGAGCCCUCGAGCCUGGAGCGCUCGACGGCCCGGAUAUAAGUCCAGACCUCCGCGGCAAGCCCCUGGGAGUCGUCUGAAUCGUCAGACGACGCCGGGGGAGGGACGUGAGCCGGAGACCCCUCGGACCCGGAGGAGAACUCCUCCUCCGAGUAUUCUGAGUCGUCGAAAUCCUCCGAUGGAGGAGUCGGCUCGCGCUUGCGUUUGUUGCUCUUGCCCAUGGUGGAAAUGAAAGGAGAGGAAGAAAGCAAGCAGCGGAGGACAGCAAGAGAUGUGAAAAAACCAGAGGGGCAAAUGCACUAUUUAUAGAAGAAGAAGAAGGCAACCGUUCACCUCCUACCACGGUCACUGAACACUCGCAAAAUAUUCAAUAUACUGAACAACCCGUCUGAAGAUACGUCAGGCGGCUGACGCCGUUUCACGCAACGCAACACCCAUUGGGACUCCAGUCAACUGCACGGGCGAUAUGAUUACACCCGCCAUCACAUCACAUUACUACUCAGAAGCAGCCAGCUAAAACACUCAGCGUACCAAGCCGUCCCUUGCCCACACCCAUUGGGGGGGACACCCAGGAAUUAUCAGUAUAUUUUUCAAAACUAUCACAUCCGUGCAGGGCAUGCAAUGAAUACCUCAAGACAAAAAUGAGAUAUCAGUAAGGAUCAAAGGAAAGCCAAAUAUAGCCGGUGAAGUACAAAAUCUGACCGACAGAAGCGACGUGAAGACUAGCCAGGGAACGUCCAUCAAACGUCCAAUCAGUCGCAGAAUAAAUAAAUUGCACCACCUAGCAAGAUAUGGGCGGAUCACGAACUCGGCCACAAAAGACAAAAUACAUGCUGACCUCUAAAGCAUAAUAUCGAUGACAUAAUGCUGACUUCUAAGGCAUUCGAAAAAAGAAAAGAUGACUCUCAGCAAAAUGACACGAAAUGAAGUCCUUCGAGUGGAUUAUUUUCAAAAAUCCACUCAAAGCUCGGGGGCUACACCCAUUGGGUGCACCUUUGGUGCACCCCAUGAAUCACCAUUUCAAGUCAAGACAAUGCCAACUUCUAAGACAUAGGGCAAGAUUAAAGACAAGGCUGGCCUCCAACCAAAGUGCAAGUGGAAAAUAAAAAUGAUUUCUGAUGAAGACCUUCGAGUGGAUUAUUUUCCAAAAUCCACUCGAAGCUCGGGGGCUACACCCAUUGGGUGCACCUCCGGCGCACCCAACGAAGUUCAAGGUCCUACAAUACGAAAUGCCGACCUCCAAGGCAUGAGUGUGAGACAAAGCUUUAGUUUUCAAGUGAUCAAAGCAGAAGGAGACAGUAAGAAAUCGUUUUUACCGAACUGCCCGGAAAGCAUUUCUUGUCGUAAACGAAGCCCACAAGCUGGACCUAGGAUCUUUGGGCCGAUUAUCUCAAAAUCAACCCAAAGAUCGGGGGCUUGUGGGGGACAGAUAUCCCCGAGUCCACUGGAAGGAUAAAAGACCUCACGAAACGCCCAAGGGCCCAAUAGAUCGUAAGGUCACUCCUUCAUGGGCCUGGGGAGGAACAAUCAGUAAAGCAGAUCGACAUAAGGCCGGGUCGGUGCAAGGCCGGACGGCCCCACAACGUUGAGCAAGCAACCACAACAGAAGAUCCGACUUUCCCGCGCUGGAGCCCCGUACAAUGGAACCAGGCGAGGAUAAGUCGGCAGAACUAUAGGAAGAUAGACUCAAACAGUUCACUAUCUUUUAGGUGCACAUUGUUAUCAUAUCCACAUGUAUUGCCUCACGGUCGAAUAUAUAAGGCCUAGGUGGCACCCCUUCAAGACGAUCGAUCCCACUACUCAGCCAUCCACCCCAACUCUCUACGUUCUAGCUUUAGAGAGCUCCCUUGUAACCCAUUACAUAAAGCAUACUCGCCAGGACGUAGGGUGUUACGCAUCUCAAAGCGGCCCGAACUUGUAAACACUAUCCAUCGUUCCUCGUGCAUCUGGCACGAACCAUUUAGCUACAGUCGGCGACACCGUCCUACUCCUAAAACACCUUGAGAGGCAACCCCGGGUGUGCGGUCGGACCCAAAACACCGACAAUGUGUGUAUAUAAAUUGCUUAUUCAUAGAAAGAAUAGAGUUUUCUAAAAAUACUAAAACAAUAGAAUUGAUGUUCAUAUCUUUAAAAUUGUGAUCUAUCGGUUUGAAUAUAGUUUUCUCAACAAAUAUAGAUUAAGUGUUUUCCUAAUAGAAUGAUAAUUAUUUAUUAUCCUUUCACAUAAAACAUAUUUAGUUUCAUACUUAAGUAUCCAUAAUUAUAUGCUUUACAAUAAAAUAUGUCAUAUAACUUUUCUAAUAAUGUUAAAAUGACUUAAUUAGGUGCUCAUACCUUCAUAAUAAAGUAAAUGAUAGUUUAUAUUGUUGAAACAUAACUUUUUUAGUAAUAAACUAGAUCAUUUGUUCCUAAUUUGAAACUUAAGAUAAUUAAUGAAUUAGCCUUUCUCAUAAUCUAUUAAUUAAGUUUAUAUCUCAAUUUGUUCAUAACUAGUUAUAUAGGCUUGAUUGAUCAUUCCGUCACAUUUAGUCCAUGUUUCCUAAAGGAUAAAAUAACUAAAUUAGUGUUCAUGUUCUUUUAUAAUUAAAAUACUAGUUUAUAUGUUGUUUUGUAUAUAACUUUCUUAAUAAAAAUAGAGGCUAGUGUUUUCUUAAGCAAAAGUGAAUAUAAUUAAUUGUUUAAUUAUCUAUUGCAUAAAAACAUAUCUAGGUCAUGUAUUUUCUUAAUGAAAAUAAAUGUAAUUAUCUGUUUAAUCACCCUUCCACAUAAAACUCGAUUAGGCUUAUAUAAUAACUUUUCAUCAAUAAAUGUUUUACAAUAUGUUUUGUAAUGUUUCAUAAAUCAAUGUUUAAUGAUGUGUUUCAUAACUCAUUAACGUUAGAUAUAUAACAUAUAUCUUUUCUAAAAAGGUUUAAUAUUGUUAUAACGUGUUUUGUCAUCUUAUGGACCCUUACUCUUAGACAUAUCACAUAUGACUUUUUAUAAAAGAUUAAAGUGGUGAACCUGAUAUUUUCAUAUUUUAAUUAAGAUAUUUUUAAGCUUAUGUCUUGUUUUAUAAAGUAUAGAUCACACAUUUUUAAAAAGAAUACCUUUUUAUUAUAACCUUUGCGUGUAAUAUUUUUGAAAAGCAAAUGCGCUUUUUGUUAUGCUUUCUUUUAGCUUUGUUUGUGGUGAAUGUUGUAUGUUAUUGAGUGGUGUUUGUUCCUUCUUGUUUGUUUAUGUGAUGUUCAGUGAUUGAUCAAGUAGUUGAGAAUAAAGAUCUAUUCUAUGGAAGAAUCUCAAGUUUUCUAUAAGCAAGGCAAGUUGACUUCUCCCUCUGCAUACUCUGUUGGAUCCCAAAUAAUACAUUUAAUAAAGUUUAUUCUUGGAUAUAUAUGCAUAAUUUGAUGGGUUACCUAUUCAGAUACACCUAACCUUUCCAACCUUAUUCCUUGUUAACCUGGGUUUGAUCUAUUCAAUUAGCUAUGUUAUUGCUACAACUUUAACUUUAUGCUGGUACUCCUAUUGAUGAUAUUAAUGUUCCAAAUGGUAAGUUUACAUUAUCGUUGUUAAUCCGAUGGUUAAGCAAGAUCAUAUUGUGAUAAUUGGAACAUGGAGUGACCACCCAGAAAAACAGUGCAACCACGAGUGCUAUCAUGGCUCUGGCUUUGGUAAUUAGCUUUAUAUGCUUAGUGCCUAGCAACCUUACCUGAAAUAUGGGCAAGAGGGGGAGCGACAGUGGUGACAGCUCACGUUAACAUGGGUACGUAUUCUUGGCUAAGGUACCUCACCCAGAGGGUCACCACACUGACUUGGAAACCUUAGCGGGUUGCUUUGUAUUAAGUGUAUUCUGUGAAAGACUCAUAAUGGAUCCCUAGCCAUUCACUUUGGAAGUGUUUACGGGUUUGGUCGACCCAGGCUAGAGGAGAUACACAGCUUGUGGGUAAAGUUGUACCACCUCUGUAGAGUGUAAAACUGAUAUAUCAACCAUGGUCACGGUUAUGAGCAGCUUGGACCCUCACAUGAUAAUUGAACUUGAAGAUGAAAAUAAAUCGUGGUCCUUUUUGGUUCAAGUGGUUCUGAGCUUAUGCUGGUGAUAUAUUUAUGCUGAUGAUAUAUAUAUGCCGAUGAAUAUUGUUCAUGCCUAAAUGGGUUUGUAUUUACUUAUACUUAGUAAUCAAGUGUUGAUAAUAAAAUGUUGACCAACUAAAAUGCCAAUCACAUUAAACUUUAGCCUUACCUUGUUACCUUGCAUUUUUCCCCACUUGCUGAGCCCCGACCAUAAGUGAGCUCACCCUUGCUUAAAUUUUGAUCAGAAGUUUGCAGAUGAAGAUAUGGUGGUGAACUUGAUGGAUGCUAGUCUAGUGAUUCCCUCAGUCAUCUUCCUGUGGAAGGAUGUCCAUGUUUCGCUGUACUUUGAUGAAUAAAGGUUAAAACAAUAUGUCUGUUCUAAAUGUAAUAUGUUAAUAUAAUCUAUUGGGGGCCUUCUUCUUCGCCGAAGGUCCUCCAAGCAAAAACACCUUCGACAGUGUGAUAUGCGAACUGACAUAACAUGAAGGUACAAGCUGAAGCUAUAAUCGAGGAAGCUUCGGCAUGACAACACCUUGAGAUGAAGGGCAGCACCGACUUAAACAGUAAAAGACCGUUUGGUCCUUGAUAGUUUGUGUUUUGGUUAUGAUUAGUUAUCAAGGACACAAAUGUAAUUUUGUCCGGGCUGCGUCCCGUGCCUAUAAAUAGAUGAACAGACGCUGACUUCUGCUCAUUCGCACAUCAUACUUGGAUUUUCACCUUCUGUCAAGCCGAAGGUAUAAAUGUAAUUUGAUAUUGUUCAUGUUUAUUCAUGAUGAUAUUAUAAAAAUAUCCUAAUGAGGUCAUAUGAUUUUUCAUAUUGUUUCCUAUGUUUCAUAUGCUUCUACUUUCAUUAUGAUAUACUGAAAUGAUGAAGGUACAUCCUUCAUAACCUUCGUCUAAAGAUCAUUAUAUCCUAAGGGAGAUAAUGCUUCGAAGGACGAAGCUCUUUAACCAUUAACAUUUUAUGUUGUCUUGUUCUUAACUCAUAGCAUUUGAGAACAAGUCCCCAACAUUGGUGCCCACCUCUGGUGAACUCACUUCCACUGUUGAGACGAUGGCUUCGUUCAACAACCAAGCUGUAGCACCUUUGACCAUGAAGCUGGUGCUCCCAAUCACGGGUGAUUCAAGUUCAGAGCCAGCCAACAAGAAGCAGAAGAAGGAAGCGCAGAGAAGAGUGCAGCAUGUUGGGGUGCAAGGACCCUUUGUCAGGUCCAAGUGGUCCCACAUCCCAAUCACCUUCUCCCAGGAGGAUCUUCAGCUAAAAGACUAUCCUCACAAUGAUGCUAUGGUCAUAUCUUGUGUCAUCAAGAGAUUUAUGGUCCACAAUUGUCGGGGACCAUAAUUAGGGGUACCCUCAAGACGCCUAAUUCUCAGCUGGUAAACCCCAUCAGCAUAAAGCUGCAGAGGCCUGAUGGGUGCGAUUAAGUCAGGGAUCAGUCCAUAUGAGUGACUCGAUCACGCCUCGCCCGAGCCUAGCCUCGGACAAGGGCAGCCGACCCCGAGGGACUUCCGUCUCGCCCGAGGCCCCCCUUUAACGGCGGACACAUCUCCGGCUCGCCCGAGGCCUUGCCUUCGCUAAGAAGCAACCCUGACUAAAUCGCCGUGCCGACCGACCGAGUCGCAGGAGCAUUUAACGCAAAGGUGGCCUGACACCUUUAUCCUAACGCGUGCCCCCCGGCAGAGCCGAAGUGACCGCCGUCACUUCGCCGCUCCACUGACCGGUCUGACAGAAGGACAGCGUCGCCUGCGCCACUCCGACUGCAGUGCCACUUGAUAGAGUGAGACUGACAGGCAGUCAGGCCCUGCCAAAGGCGCCAUAGGAAACUCCGCUCCACCCGACCCAGGGCUCGGACUCGGGCUAAGCCCUGGAAGACGGCGAACUCCGCUCCGCCCGACCCAGGGCUCAGACUCGGGCUAAGCCCCGGAAGACGGCGAACUCCGCUCCGCCCGACCCAGGGCUCGGACUCGGGCUAAGCCCCGGAAGACGGCGAACUCCGCUCCGCCCGACCCAGGGCUCGGACUCGGGCUAGGCCCCGGAAGAUGGCGAACUCCGCUCCGCCCGACCCAGGGCUCGGACUCGGGCUCAGCCCCAGAAGACGACGAACUCCGCUUCGCCCGACCCCAGGGCUCGGACUCCGCCCUGGCCUCUGCCGAACGACCUCCGCCUCGCCCGACCCAGGGGCUCGGGCUCGGCCUCGGCCAUGGAAGACAGACUCGACCUCGGCUUCGGAGGAGCCUCCACGUCGCCCGACCUAGGGCGCAGGCCAGCCACGUCAACAGGAAGCGCCAUCAUCACCCUACCCCGAGCCGACUCGGGCCGCAGAGAACAAGACCGGCGUCCCAUCUGGCUAGCUCCGCCAGAUAGGCAAUGAUGGCGCCCCGCAAGCCCUGUGACGACAGCGACUCUCAGCUCUCUUACGGAAGCAGGAGGACGUCAGCAAGGACUCAACCGCUCCGACAGCUGUCCCUCCGCCAGGCUCCGUUUCUCCUCCGACAGCCACGACAUCACACCAGCAGGGUGCCAAGAUCUCUCCGGCUGCCACAUUGGCAUGUACUUAGGGCGCUAGCUCUCCCCUGCUAGACACGUAGCACUCUGCUACACCCCCAUUGUACACCUGGAUCCACUCCUUACGCCUAUAAAAGGAAGGACCAGGGCCCUCUUAGAGAGGGUUGGCCGCGCGGGGACGAGGACGAGACAGGCGCUCUCUUGGGGCCGCUCGCUUCCCUCACCCGCGUGGUGUGGCGGAACUGCCCGAAUUAUUCCAGCUUAAGUGCCCAAGUCCCGCCUUAGAGGCUAGACCACACUUAAAUGGGAAUAACCCGUCAAUCCCUCGGAUCUAGUCCGACACGGCCACUGACAGGAUCAAGUACCACAAUCUCACUCGAAGGUGAGUCACAGAGCAAAUACAAUAAAGCAUAAACCAUACAUGUUACAAUGUUAAAUUAUUACAUCACCAUUAUCAUCAUUGGAGUUUUUGCAAAAGUAACCAUCAUUGUUCGAAGUGCAGCGGAAUAGAACUAACGGUAAUUAAACAGAGAGAUGGGGAAGCCUGUCCCAUCACUCCUCAUGCUCCUCCUCAGCCGAGGCAGGGUCCCACUCGACAGUCCAACCAGGUGGCAGGGUGGUCGGCCAAGUUAUCCCAGCAACCAUCUCCUCCAGAGAACCUGUAAAAAUUAUGCCACAAGCAAGGCUGAGUAUACUAAUACUCAGCUAGACUUACCCGGUGUGAGGAGUCUACUCCUCUACCUCUAGACAUGCAGCUGUUUGGCUGUGGGGUUUGGUUGCCAAAAGCACUAGCUGAGUUUCUAAAUCAAGAUUUUAACUUAAUCAAAGUUAAGUGUGACUCUCUUAAGGCUAAAAGUGAACUAUCUACUCAUACAUGGUAGCAAGCAUUAUUAACAAUCAACAUCUUAUCUCAACUCAUCGUACUUCCACUUAUUACUCAAUGCAGUACAAUGGAUCAAGCAGUCUCAUUAGCUGCGAGAAGCAGACGAUUCGAAUCGAGUUUUUAUCCUUGCAAGGUAAACCUAAACACACGUCAUGCAGGGGUACUCCGUCCCCACACACAUCAACCGUCCCCAUCGAUUCCCCGUCAGCAGAGAGGGGCUCACCGCCUUGGCGUACAAUGCCUCACUGACCCCGACUGGCCGUCGUGCAGUGACCGCACUUGUACCCACCAUAACCGGAAUGGGAGACCUCGUCUCAGGUCGUGUGAGGAGGGCAAUCUGCUGCCAGGUUCAAUCAGGUACUAGGCUUACCGAUUUACCAUAUUUCUCGGCAUAUGUUUAGUACGUUCAAACGCUUGACACAGGUAUCCGCACGUUAAUCCUUAUUCCAUUUUCCAUCUCGUAAACAACCAAUCCCCAUGGAUUGUUGUCCACCAACUAGUAUCAUGACAGUGUGAAAGUGGGUACAAUCAAUUUCCUGAUCUCGCGCGAGUGCUAGAAAAAUCACUCGUCUUCUACCGAGAUCCUAUUUAAUUAAAGCAACUACUCGACCUGUCAUACUAGUAUUCAAUUCAAAAGGAUUCCUGAGAUCAUGCAACUAGGGUUUCAAACAAUUCCUACACCUAAGUGCACAAUCAAUCCUACAAUCAUUAGGUGAAGUAAAAUAGCAUAAAUAAUAGGUUAUGCAUAAAACCGGGGCUUGCCUUCCAAAGCAGUGGCAGGCAGGUCCUCUGGUGCUGGCUCUGGUGCUGGAUCUGGGGCUACCUCCUGAGCAGCUCCUUGCUCCGGCACGAGGAUGUACUCUCCGUCAGCAAGAUUACAGUCUAUCGAAAUGCAAUGAACAUGUAUGUCAUGAUUAUGCAUGAUUUAAGAACAUUAAGUUAAAGAAACUAAGUUAAGAAUUAACUUAGGGUUUUCUCAGUUAUGCGGGGCUUCUAGUGGUACAUAGAUAGACUUAUUACUCUUUGGACUUAGGUUUUCCUUUAGGACAACACAUUGGUUUGGUAUUGCUUUGAUAUAUUUUUGUGGACAGCAAAUAAAGUUUUUAGGGACAACCUUUAUUCAUAUCUUGUAUUUCUCUUCCCUUAAUUUCCAUUUAGGUUUUCUAGGGUAGGUUUGAACUACAACAGGGUUUUAAUAAUUUCCAAAAAUUCUGUAAAAAUUACAGUGGGUUGUCACUGGCUAUUUUAGCUUGUUUUAAGAAAUUGAGGCUUAAAGUAUAAAAGUUAGGCCUUAAACAAAAAUAACAAAAGUUAGGCAAAAAGGGGCACUUUAUACUACACCUCCUAGUUAGGGGUAGGUUUUGUCCUAAAGGUCAUUUUUGUUGGCAUCCUCUGGUAAUGAUAGGUCUUUGUGCUAAAAAUCACAGGAAACUAAGGGGUGGUUAAUUAGCUAUGAUUUUCCCAAGUUUAAUGUCAAAAAGGCACUUUCUACUACCUUAUUAUUUGAAAAAUGUCAAACAGCAGAUUUCAUAUUUUUCUUAGGUUCUUUCUAAUAAAACAAUAGUUAUCCCAAGGGUGGGGGUGUUUUCACCUUGGGGUUAUUUUUGUGGAGUUUUUCUAAGUUAUCCUUGUUUUAUUAACUUAAAAGAGAUCUUAAUUAUUUUACUCUAAAACAGGGUAUGAUAUAUUUUUCUAGUGAACUACAUUAACUAAGUAUCUUAACAAAAAUAGGGGUGCCCUCUGGUUCAACAUUUGUGUCACUUUUCCUAUUUUUAUUAAACUUUAAGCAUAUUUGGAAUAAGGGGUUAAAACUAACUUAAUGUAAUGGACAGAGGGGUUUAACAUUUUUAAACAGGUUAGUAGGUGAAUAUAAACUUCUCCAAAUUUUCCUAACCUUAGUCAAAUAGCCUAACUAUUUUUCUUACUAUUAUUUAGCUUUUGGCCAAAGUUAACAUUAAAUCAGAGCUUUUAAGUUUUCCACAGCACCAAGGGGUUUUAUAUUUUUCCUAAAUAGGUUACAUGAUUUAGAGUCUGGCAAAAUUGGUUUGACCAAAAUUGGAUAAACCAAACAGAAGUUAUGGGUUUUUAAAGUUUCUGUUUGAAUUUAAAUUAGGUUUUAAUUAAGUUUUCCUGGAAAAACAGUUUGCGCCGAGGCCCCUGGGUUUAAAACAAUUCAAACCUCGCAGAUCUACCCUUAAGGCACUAUUCACUUGAGUCUCUGACCUUUCACUUAACCCCCUGGGUUUCUCUCCCUCUCACCCGCAGUCCCUCCCUCAACUGAAACAGUAGCCGCGGAAAAAGAAAGGGCGGCGCGGCUUACCGGCGGCGAGGGAGUUCCGGCGAAGUGUAGGGUUGGCUCGGGGAGGGUCUGGCGAUCACGUCGAGGUACGGCUCGUCGUCGGGGAUGGCCGGAAUCGCCCGGUCCACGUGAGCAGGCGGGCGAGCUCGUCGGCGGCGUGUGCUCCGGCCUAUCCACGGCGGCAUAGUUCAAUCCAAGGGCAUAGGGAGCUUCGUGGAGGUCUAAGGAGUCUAACCGUGCAAGGAAUCGAAGAGAGGUGCACGGUGUACCUCGGUCCACGGUUGCCGGCGGUCGGUUGAAGUCCGGUGACCUUGGGCCGGCCUCUCCGGUGAAGCAGAGCCCGAUUCCUCGCUCGGGGAGCUUCACGGAGACGCGCACAGUCCUCUCCGAGAGCUGGACGGGGCUGGGAAUGGCUGGGCUGGCCGGUCUACGGCGGCAGGGGCUCGGGUGGCCGCGGGCGCGUCGCGUAUGGGCAACCGGCGGCGAACUGAGCUCCGGUGAGGCUUGAGUGCGUGCGGAGGGGUACGGCCGAGGCUCCUGGGCGUUUUAUAGCCGCGGACGCGGACCAGGGCGCUGGCUCGGCUUGGGCGCGGCGCGGGCGCGCGCGGGGGCGUGCUCUAGCGCGGCAGACGGCGUCGAACACGUGGCGGUUUGUUUCUUCCAGUGUUCAAAUGUCGCCAGAGGUCGCAUACGUGCGAAUCUUUGCAAAAGUCCGCCGCAGACCUCUUCCUGGCACCUAGGGCUGUCACUCGACUGUGAGACGCCGGGGCAGAUACGGCCUAGGGAGGAAGAUCUUCGAGUGCCAAAACAGGUGUGUCAUACUGAGCAUAACACGACAAAAGCCAUGCCAUGGCAUGUCAAACGUCCGAGUCUCGAGCUCAACUUUUUCCAGUGGGUGCCCUAAGUGGUAUUGCACAUUUUUGGUAUAGAACCCAAGUGGUUUUGGUGCCAUUUUUGAAGUGAACACGGUUGAUCUUUGAUUUAGGGCUAGAAUGGGACUUAGAGGGAAUUAGAGAGCUCUAGCUCUCUCUCCACUUGGAGAUUUGAAAUGGGGUUUCCCUAGGGGCCUUUUUGCAAUUAUUCCCCUCCCUAAUUGAUGGUUAUAAUGUUGCUUAGGGUUUGGGUAAAGAUUACCCAUGUUUUGCACAUUUGCUCACUCUCUUUCCCCUCUUAUCCAUGGUUUUGGGAGAUAGGGUUUAAGAGAGGCCUAGGGUUCUUUCUCCCUCUCCCAAGGUGAUAGUUGCACACAACUAGGGUAAAGCCUUUGGUCAUUCCCAACUCUUGGUAAAAACUUAGUUUCCAAAGCCCCUUAUACUUUUGCUCCUUAAGUUCUUCCACAUGUGAUCAUAGUCUUGAGUGCCAAGGUGUGUUCCAGCCAUGGCAACACCUGGGGUGUUACAGCCCUCCCCCCUUAAAAGAAUCUCGUCCCGAGAUUUUAGGUAGAGUCCCUUGGAGGGUGCUGGAAGGUGUGUUGGUGCUACUCUUUCUUUAUACUCAAGUUUCUCUUGUUAACUGCUCUUCGAAUGUCAUUCUCUUUGCAACUUCAGAAGGAAGCCCUUCUUAAGUUAAAUCCACAACUUAGACCAUCCUUAUUAUCUAAGUUUUUCUUAUAAUUGGAUUCAAAGGGCAGGUGGGGGUGGGGUUCUGGGGUUACAUACCGACUCCUUUGGGUAGAAAGUCGGGGAAGCGAGAGCGUAGAAAAUCCUCAGUCUCCCAUGUAGCUUCUUCUGCUGAAUGGUGACUCCACUGAACCUUAUACAUUCUGACCGACCUUGCCCGAGUUGAUCUCUCCUUCUGAUCUAAUACAUUGACGGGGUACUCUUGAUAGGACAAGUCUGGUUCUAUCUCAAUGUCUGGUUCCGGGAGUACUUCAGUGGGUAGACGAACGCAUUUCCGCAGUUGAGAUACAUGGAACACAUUAUGAACUGCUGACAUGUGAGGUGGCAAUUCCACUUGAUAGGCUACGGGUCCACAACUUGCCUCGAUCUUAUAGGGUCCAAUGUAGCGAGGGGCUAACUUGCCCUUGAUCCCGAAUCUCUGAACACCCUUGGUGGGUGAUACCUUAAGAUAGACAUGAUCUCCCACCUCAAACUGUAGAGGCUUCCGCCUCUUAUCAUGAUAGCUCCUUUGCCUAGCCUGAGCAGCUUCCAAGUUCUUGGUAAUGACUCUGACUUUUGCCUCUGCCUCGAGUACUAAGUCUGGUCCAAAAAUUUCCCUUUCUCCUGCUUGAGACCAAUUUAGUGGGGUCCUACACCUUCUCCCAUACAAUGCCUCAAAAGGUGCCAUCUUUAAACUGGACUGAUAGCUAUUGUUGUAAGAGAACUCUGCCAAAGACAGACACUUGUCCCAAUCCUUUCCAUAAUGUAGUGCACAGGCUCGCAACAUAUCUUCCAAAAUUUGAUUCACCCUUUCUGUCUGACCAUCGGUUUGUGGGUGGUAUGCUGAGCUUCGGAUGACAUGGGUUCCAAGUGAUUCUUGCAGUUUUUCCCAAAAGCGUGCCACAAACAGUGCUCCUCUGUCAGAUAUAAUGGUCUUGGGAAUACCAUGCAAUCUCACUAUCUGAUCAACAUAAAUUUCAGCAUACUUCUCGGUCUUGUGGGUGGUGUGCACUGGUAAGAAGUGAGCCGUCUUGGUCAAUCUGUCCACGAUAACCCAAAUAGAAUCAUGGUGUCUGGAGGUAUUGGGUAAUCCCACUAUAAAGUCCAUGCAAAUGUCCUCCCAUUUCCAAGAUGGUAUGGGAAGGGGUUGUAGAGGGCCUGCUGCCUUCAAGUGACUAGCCUUUAUCCUCUGACAAGUAUCACACUCGGAUAUGUACUUGGCAAUUUCCCUUUUCAUUCUAGUCCACCAAUAUAAAGAUCUGAGAUCAUGAUACAUCUUGUUGCUACCAGGGUGCAUGGAGAAUUUGGAAAGGUGAGCUUCGUCCAGUAUCUUCUUUCUGAGCUCAGGGUCCUUGGGAACAACCAAUCGAUCUCCAAACCAUAGAAUUCCCUUACUGUCCUGUCGGAAACAUUUGUAUUUUUCUGCCUUUUGCUUGAUCAUAUCCUUGAUAACCUGAACACCCUUAUCCUCAACCUGUGCCCUGACUAUUUGUUCUUGCAAUGUGGGCUCCACCGAGAUAUAGCUUAGGUUACCCGAAGAAACAACUUCCAGGUUCAGUUUGCACAAUUCAUCACACAGGGUGGUCACUCCCACAUCCAUGCUCAUGCAAUAGCACUGGGUCUUUCUGCUUAAGGCAUCUGCCACAACAUUGGCCUUACCAGGGUGGUAAUGCACCUCCAGAUCAUAGUCCUUAAUCAACUCUAACCAUCUCCUUUGCCUCAUGUUCAGAUCUGCCUGCGUGAAGAUGUAUUUGAGGCUCUUGUGAUCAGUGUAGAUGUUACAGUGAGCUCCCAUCAGGUAGUGCCUCCAAAUCUUAAGGGCAUGAACUACAGCUGCCAACUCUAGAUCAUGUGUAGGGUAGUUCUGCUCAUGGGGCCUGAGUGCCCGAGAAGCAUAAGCAAUCACUCUGUUCUCUUGCAUCAAGACACAUCCCAAACCAGUACCAGAGGCAUCACAAUAAACCUCAAACGGCUUGGUGUUGUCAGGUUGAGCUAACACUGGGGCUGUUGUCAAAUGCUGUCUCAAGGUAUGAAAGGCAUCUUCACACUUUUGGCUCCACUCAAAUUUGACUCCCUUCUUCAACAGUUCAGUCAUUGGUUUGGCAAUUCUGGAGAAAUCUGGAAUAAAUCGUCGAUAAUACCCUGCCAAUCCCAGAAAACUCCGAAUUUGCUUUACUGUGGUCGGGGGUUUCCAAUCCAUCACUUCUUGCACCUUCUCAGGAUCAACUGAUACCCCAUCUUGAGAAAUUGUGUGACCCAAGAAUUUGAUCUCCUUCAGCCAGAACUCACACUUAGACAACUUAGCAUAAAGAUGAUGAUCGCGCAGCCGUUGAAGCACGAUGUGCAGGUGCUCAGUAUGUUCAUCUUCAUUCUUGGAAUAGACCAGAAUAUCAUCAAUGAAGACAACCACAAACUUAUCCAAUUCUGGCAUGAAUACUGAGUUCAUCAGGUACAUGAAAUAUGCCGGGGCAUUGGUCAGCCCAAAAGACAUCACCAGAAACUCAUACAAUCCAUAUCUGGUAGAGAAAGCCGUCUUGGGAAUAUCGCUGGCACGGAUCUUGAUCUGAUGGUAUCCUGAGCGAAGGUCUAUCUUGGAGAAUACCUUGGCUCCAACCAACUGAUCAAACAGAACAUCAAUGCGAGGCAACGGGUAUUUGUUCUUUAUGGUCACCGCAUUGAGAGGGCGGUAGUCAACACACAUCCUCAAACUCUCAUCCUUUUUCUUCACAAAUAAUGCUGGACAUCCCCAUGGUGAAGUGCUUGGACGAAUAAACCCCUUGUCCAACAACUCUUGUAAUUGUUUCUUCAAUUCUGCCAAUUCCGCGGGAGGCAUCCGAUACGGUCUCUUGGAGAUCGGAGCAGUCCCGGGUUGCAACUCAAUUGCGAACUCAAUGUCUCGGUCAGGUGGCAUUCCUGGCAAUUCAUCCGGAAAAACAUCUGGAUAGUCACAGACCACUGGGAUCUUUUCCACCGGGGAUUCUAUCAUAACAAAGGCACAAGAUCGGGUACAACCCUGGUCGGGUAAAUAUAAAACAGUCUCGCCAUAAGCAGGGGAAUGGAUUUCAAUGGCUCUGGCUGCAAUGUCCAAUACUGCCUGAUGCCUGGUCAACCAGUCAGCUCCCAAAAUAAUAUCCACGCUAUCCAAUCCUAAAAUGAGAAGGGUGGUUCUAAUUACCAGACUACCAAAUUUUAUAGGCACUUGCCUGUUGAUUUGAUAAGUGGCAACUCUGCCUCCUGGUGUUGAAAUUGUAAUGCCCCCAUCGGUAUGGUGAAAGGGCAACUGGCAUUUGGCACUAAAUUUGGCACUGAUAAAACUAUGCGAUGCACCAGAAUCAAAUAGAAUAAUAGCAGGGUAAUUCAAAACUGUAAAGAUACCAGUCAUGACGGGUGCUCCCUCUGGAAUGUCUGCCAUGGUGGUGAAGUUCAGCCUGCCCUGCCUCACUUGCACCUUCUGUCUCUUGCCUUGGUUCUGGUUGACAUUCUGCCCCUGCCUCUGCUGGUUCCUGGGGCAAUUCUUGGCAUAAUGCCCAGUGUUGCCACAAGUGAAACAUCUGUUGUCAUUGGCUUGGCGGUACUGCUGCUGCUGAUUAUUCCGCUGUGCUGGAAACUGGUUGCGGUUGGGUGCCUGCUGCUGCUGCUGCUGAGGUCGGAUUACCCAUCGCCCUUGCUGCUGCUGGGGUCCCCUGCCCUGGGUGUCGGACACAAUUCUGAAACGCUGUGGCUGAGCUGAGGGUCCUGCCACAGGGGUCUUCCGCUUUUUCUCUGCCUGCCUAGCGGUAAUGCAGUCCUCUUGGGAGAUUGCCAUGUUGACCAACUCAUUGUAGCUGUUGGCCCUGACGGUGUUGAGACGGUCCCGGAGCUUAGUGCUGAGCCCCCUUCUGAAUCUGUCCCUUUUCUUCUCAUCUGUAUCCGCAUGAUAUCCCGCAUACUGGCACAAGUCAUUAAAAGCCUGGGCAUACUGCAACACUGUCCUGUUGCCCUGGGUGAGUGCCAAGAACUCAUUGAGUUUCCUGUCCAUGAUCCCGGCUGGUAUAUGGUGUCCUCUAAAAGCUGCCUUAAACUCCCUCCACUCCACCUCUCGGUCCUCUGGAUGCAUAGCCAGAAAGUGAUCCCACCAAGUCCUUGCAGGCCCGCGAAGCUGCUGGGUGGCGAACCUGACCUUGGUGACCUCUGAGCAAACUCCAUGGAGCAGUGGAAAUUUGGAUUCCACCACUCGCAGCCAUAUAUCUGCGUCAAGUGGGUCCUCCGCCCUUGUGAACAGUGGAGGCUGGGUGCUGAGGAAUUCUUGAUAGGUGGCCACCACGGGGUGACGUUGGUGGUCUCCACCACCAUAAUGCUGGGGUGGUGGCUGACAUUGAGCUAGCUGCCUCAGAAUCUCAUUCUGCUGAGCCAUGAGCUCCUGCAGAGUGGGAGGUGGGGGUGGUGGUGGAACGUGCUCGUUCUGGCCACGACGCUGCCUCCCGGCCAUCUGAAAAAUCACAUACUUACUUAACACCACAGUUCCAAUUUCAAGAUUUCAACACGGGGAAAAAGUUAAAAACAGCAUGAAAGAUCUAACUUCAACAAAAGGGAUUCUUUAAGAGGCAUAAAUUCUUCCUUCCAAAUUAAACUGAUAAUAGCAUCCAUCCAUCAAGCUCCCAAGAGAGUUUAAUACGAUUACAUCAAAUUGUUCCAAAAUGACUCAACUCUAUCUAGCCUAGUACCCCAAGGGUGCAAAAGCUAAGCUAGUUGCGAGGAGUCCGACUGUCCGACUUCUAAGCCUACCCUGGACACCUAGUGAGCGAACGAAGCAACACUGGACUCGGGGGAAGGUGGUCUUCCCGAGCCAGCAGUGUCUACACUGGAGGCAGGCUCAUCUCCUCCCUCAAUGUCGACGUCCUCGUCGUCCUCCUGGUCCUGGAUCUCCUGGUGGUGCAUGUCCAGGUGCUCAUUUGCUUCUGCCAGCUGCUGCUGAGUGUUGAGGAGCUGAUUCUCUAGGACCUCAAUGGUGUUCUCCCGGGUACCCACUAGCUCCUCCAACUCAUGAAUCUCACCAGACAGCUGCUCCACUUGCAAAUCUUUCUCUACCAUUUCUUGAGACAAGUCGACCACAAGCUCCUCUCGGUUAUCCAACGUGAUCUUGGUGGCCUCCAGCAGUGCCAUCAGAUGGGACAUGGCCUCACCGCGCAUUACCUGCAGACGGUACAGAGCAUUCAUGCACCGUACUGUCAAGUGCGCAGUCUGACCUGGGUAGAUGGCCCAGAUGUCCUUGGCAUGUUCCACCCGAUCCUUCCACAUUGGGUCGUCCUCCUUUUCAGCGGGGAACAAGCCAAUGGGGUGGGUAGCCAGCUCCAAGGGAUGAAAUCCGCAGAAGGUAGUCAAUCCAUGCAGCGCGAUCGCCUCGAUCGUGUCCUCCGCUCGGUAUCCGAAGGACUCGGAGUCCAAGGAGCGCCAGCCUGGCUGCAGGGGAUGAGGCUCCAAGGUCAUCCUCACCCUACAGCGGGGCACUCGGUGCUUCUCGAACUGCUGCACCGCGUACUGAGGGGGUGUCGUGUAUCCAGCCCCCUGAAGUACCUCCCACAAAAUGCGGGGAAAACCCUCUCGUGCAAGUCCGUCCGUGUGGGUCAGUGCAUUUCCGUCAUCGGAGGAUCCAUGGGAAGUCAUCUGUGUACGGUUAAGCGUAAGUAAAAGAAAAGAAUUAUAAAAAGAACAAGAAAAAUAAAACUCAGCCUUUCUCUAGUUAAGUAAAAAGGCACUAAGGACCUAGCUGGUUGUUAUCUUGUCUUUAAGUCCUUACUUAGUUAUCCAUUUGCUUAAUUAUGAAUGCAUGCAUGCUCGUCCUGAACGACCUCACAACAAGAUAAAAGGAAUAGGGAGGAACUCCCAUCCUGUAAAAGUGGCCUAUAGGGCCUAGUUACUUAGCCACCUAGCUACCCUUCUAUUAACCUAAGGCUUCACGUCCUAGGUCUAUCCUGCUCGUCCUACUAUCUAUCCAACUUGUUUCUAUCAAGUUUUAUUUAGAAAAUUGAUGGUAUUUACAUUUUAUUGAUUCCUCUGUGGUGGUACAAGCUCCGAUACCAGCUGUGGCGGAACUGCCCGAAUUAUUCCAGCUUAAGUGCCCAAGUCCCGCCUUAGAGGCUAGACCACACUUAAAUGGGAAUAACCCGUCAAUCCCUCGGAUCUAGUCCGACACGGCCACUGACAGGAUCAAGUACCACAAUCUCACUCGAAGGUGAGUCACAGAGCAAAUACAAUAAAGCAUAAACCAUACAUGUUACAAUGUUAAAUUAUUACAUCACCAUCAUCAUCAUUGGAGUUUUUGCAAAAGUAACCAUCAUUGUUCGAAGUGCAGCGGAAUAGAACUAACGGUAAUUAAACAGAGAGAUGGGGAAGCCUGUCCCAUCACUCCUCAUGCUCCUCCUCAGCCGAGGCAGGGUCCCACUCGACAGUCCAACCCGGUGGCAGGGUGGUCGGCCAAGUUAUCCCAGCAACCAUCUCCUCCAGAGAACCUGUAAAAAUUAUGCCACAAGCAAGGCUGAGUAUACUAAUACUCAGCUAGACUUACCCGGUGUGAGGAGUCUACUCCUCUACCUCUAGACAUGCAGCUGUUUGGCUGUGGGGUUUGGUUGCCAAAAGCACUAGCUGAGUUUCUAAAUCAAGAUUUUAACUUAAUCAAAGUUAAGUGUGACUCUCUUAAGGCUAAAAGUGAACUAUCUACUCAUACAUGGUAGCAAGCAUUAUUAACAAUCAACAUCUUAUCUCAACUCAUCGUACUUCCACUUAUUACUCAAUGCAGUACAAUGGAUCAAGCAGUCUCAUUAGCUGCGAGAAGCAGACGAUUCGAAUCGAGUUUUUAUCCUUGCAAGGUAAACCUAAACACACGUCAUGCAGGGGUACUCCGUCCCCACACACAUCAACCGUCCCCAUCGAUUCCCCGUCAGCAGAGAGGGGCUCACCGCCUUGGCGUACAAUGCCUCACUGACCCCGACUGGCCGUCGUGCAGUGACCGCACUUGUACCCACCAUAACCGGAAUGGGAGACCUCGUCUCAGGUCGCGUGAGGAGGGCAAUCUGCUGCCAGGUUCAAUCAGGUACUAGGCUUACCGAUUUACCAUAUUUCUCGGCAUAUGUUUAGUACGUUCAAACGCUUGACACAGGUAUCCGCACGUUAAUCCUUAUUCCAUUUUCCAUCUCGUAAACAACCAAUCCCCAUGGAUUGUUGUCCACCAACUAGUAUCAUGACAGUGUGAAAGUGGGUACAAUCAAUUUCCUGAUCUCGCGCGAGUGCUAGAAAAAUCACUCGUCUUCUACCGAGAUCCUAUUUAAUUAAAGCAACUACUCGACCUGUCAUACUAGUAUUCAAUUCAAAAGGAUUCCUGAGAUCAUGCAACUAGGGUUUCAAACAAUUCCUACACCUAAGUGCACAAUCAAUCCUACAAUCAUUAGGUGAAGUAAAAUAGCAUAAAUAAUAGGUUAUGCAUAAAACCGGGGCUUGCCUUCCAAAGCAGUGGCAGGCAGGUCCUCUGGUGCUGGCUCUGGUGCUGGAUCUGGGGCUACCUCCUGAGCAGCUCCUUGCUCCGGCACGAGGAUGUACUCUCCGUCAGCAAGAUUACAGUCUAUCGAAAUGCAAUGAACAUGUAUGUCAUGAUUAUGCAUGAUUUAAGAACAUUAAGUUAAAGAAACUAAGUUAAGAAUUAACUUAGGGUUUUCUCAGUUAUGCGGGGCUUCUAGUGGUACAUAGAUAGACUUAUUACUCUUUGGACUUAGGUUUUCCUUUAGGACAACACAUUGGUUUGGUAUUGCUUUGAUAUAUUUUUGUGGACAGCAAAUAAAGUUUUUAGGGACAACCUUUAUUCAUAUCUUGUAUUUCUCUUCCCUUAAUUUCCAUUCAGGUUUUCUAGGGUAGGUUUGAACUACAACAGGGUUUUAAUAAUUUCCAAAAAUUCUGUAAAAAUUACAGUGGGUUGUCACUGGCUAUUUUAGCUUGUUUUAAGAAAUUGAGGCUUAAAGUAUAAAAGUUAGGCCUUAAACAAAAAUAACAAAAGUUAGGCAAAAAGGGGCACUUUACACUACACCUCCUAGUUAGGGGUAGGUUCUGUCCUAAAGGUCAUUUUUGUUGGCAUCCUCUGGUAAUGAUAGGUCUUUGUGCUAAAAAUCACAGGAAACUAAGGGGUGGUUAAUUAGCUAUGAUUUUCCCAAGUUUAAUGUCAAAAAGGCACUUUCUACUACCUUAUUAUUUGAAAAAUGUCAAACAGCAGAUUUCAUAUUUUUCUUAGGUUCUUUCUAAUAAAACAAUAGUUAUCCCAAGGGUGGGGGUGUUUUCACCUUGGGGUUAUUUUUGUGGAGUUUUUCUAAGUUAUCCUUGUUUUAUUAACUUAAAAGAGAUCUUAAUUAUUUUACACUAAAACAGGGUAUGAUAUAUUUUUCUAGUGAACUACAUUAACUAAGUAUCUUAACAAAAAUAGGGGUGCCCUCUGGUUCAACAUUUGUGUCACUUUUCCUAUUUUUAUUAAACUUUAAGCAUAUUUGGAAUAAGGGGUUAAAACUAACUUAAUGUAAUGGACAGAGGGGUUUAACAUUUUUAAACAGGUUAGUAGGUGAAUAUAAACUUCUCCAAAUUUUCCUAACCUUAGUCAAAUAGCCUAACUAUUUUUCUUACUAUUAUUUAGCUUUUGGCCAAAGUUAACAUUAAAUCAGAGCUUUUAAGUUUUCCACAGCACCAAGGGGUUUUAUAUUUUUCCUAAAUAGGUUACAUGAUUUAGAGUCUGGCAAAAUUGGUUUGACCAAAAUUGGAUAAACCAAACAGAAGUUAUGGGUUUUUAAAGUUUCUGUUUGAAUUUAAAUUAGGUUUUAAUUAAGUUUUCCUGGAAAAACAGUUUGCGCCGAGGCCCCUGGGUUUAAAACAAUUCAAACCUCGCAGAUCUACCCUUAAGGCACUAUUCACUUGAGUCUCUGACCUUUCACUUAACCCCCUGGGUUUCUCUCCCUCUCACCCGCAGUCCCUCCCUCAACUGAAACAGUAGCCGCGGAAAAAGAAAGGGCGGCGCGGCUUACCGGCGGCGAGGGAGUUCCGGCGAAGUGUAGGGUUGGCUCGGGGAGGGUCUGGCGAUCACGUCGAGGUACGGCUCGUCGUCGGGGAUGGCCGGAAUCGCCCGGUCCACGUGAGCAGGCGGGCGAGCUCGUCGGCGGCGUGUGCUCCGGCCUAUCCACGGCGGCAUAGUUCAAUCCAAGGGCAUAGGGAGCUUCGUGGAGGUCUAAGGAGUCUAACCGUGCAAGGAAUCGAAGAGAGGUGCACGGUGUACCUCGGUCCACGGUUGCCGGCGGUCGGUUGAAGUCCGGUGACCUUGGGCCGGCCUCUCCGGUGAAGCAGAGCCCGAUUCCUCGCUCGGGGAGCUUCACGGAGACGCGCACAGUCCUCUCCGAGAGCUGGACGGGGCUGGGAAUGGCUGGGCUGGCCGGUCUACGGCGGCAGGGGCUCGGGUGGCCGCGGGCGCGUCGCGUAUGGGCAACCGGCGGCGAACUGAGCUCCGGUGAGGCUUGAGUGCGUGCGGAGGGGUACGGCCGAGGCUCCUGGGCGUUUUAUAGCCGCGGACGCGGACCAGGGCGCUGGCUCGGCUUGGGCGCGGCGCGGGCGCGCGCGGGGGCGUGCUCUGGCGCGGCAGACGGCGUCGAACACGUGGCGGUUUGUUUCUUCCAGUGUUCAAAUGUCGCCAGAGGUCGCAUACGUGCGAAUCUUUGCAAAAGUCCGCCGCAGACCUCUUCCUGAUACCUAGGGCUGUCACUCGACUGUGAGACGCCGGGGCAGAUACGGCCUAGGGAGGAAGAUCUUCGAGUGCCAAAACAGGUGUGUCAUACUGAGCAUAACACGACAAAAGCCAUGCCAUGGCAUGUCAAACGUCCGAGUCUCGAGCUCAACUUUUUCCAGUGGGUGCCCUAAGUGGUAUUGCACAUUUUUGGUAUAGAACCCAAGUGGUUUUGGCGCCAUUUUUGAAGUGAACACGGUUGAUCUUUGAUUUAGGGCUAGAAUGGGACUUAGAGGGAAUUAGAGAGCUCUAGCUCUCUCUCCACUUGGAGAUUUGAAAUGGGGUUUCCCUAGGGGCCUUUUUGCAAUUAUUCCCCUCCCUAAUUGAUGGUUAUAAUGUUGCUUAGGGUUUGGGUAAAGAUUACCCAUGUUUUGCACAUUUGCUCACUCUCUUUCCCCUCUUAUCCAUGGUUUUGGGAGAUAGGGUUUAAGAGAGGCCUAGGGUUCUUUCUCCCUCUCCCAAGGUGAUAGUUGCACACAACUAGGGUAAAGCCUUUGGUCAUUCCCAACUCUUGGUAAAAACUUAGUUUCCAAAGCCCCUUAUACUUUUGCUCCUUAAGUUCUUCCACAUGUGAUCAUAGUCUUGAGUGCCAAGGUGUGUUCCAGCCAUGGCAACACCUGGGGUGUUACACGUGGACGCUUGUAACCCCCUACUGCAAGCGCACCCGACCUGGGCGCGGGACGAACACGAAAGCCGCGAGAUUUCCACCUCUCUCACGCCCGUCUCCGGCCACCUCGCUUCCCCCCUUCGCGCUCGCCCACGCGCUCGACCCAUCUGGGCUGGGGCACGCGGCACACUCACUCGUCGGCUUAGGGACCCCCCGGUCUCGAAACGCCGACAGUUGGCGCGCCAGGUAGGGGCCUGCUGCGUGUUGACGAACAGCUUCCCGUCAAGCUCCAGAUGGGCAGUCUCCAGCAACCUCUCCGGCCCGGGACGGUGCUCCGUUUCGGGAGUCUUGAGUUCAUGUCCUUCGACGGCAGCUACGACAUGAUACUCCUUCCACCGCCGCGCGACAACGACAAUGGCGGCCGACAACCCGCCCGCCGGCGGCGGAAUCGACGACAUCUUCCCCGCGUGGUGGAAGAACAACAUUCGAGCUUGCCCCAUCCUCUCCCCCGCCAACGGAGGAGGAGGCGGGGCAACCAAGGCCAAGCGGGAGGCCGCGCUUCGUCGGCUGUCGAGCGAAUCGACGUCCCCAGCGCCCCAACGGGGGGCGCGUCGGGCAUCGACCUCGCGUUUGAGACGAAGGCGGGCGCCGUCCCCCCGCGACACGCCAAUCCCGAACAAGUGGACGACGCCAGCGCGCUCGCGGAGAGCUUGUAGGACGUCGCCCUCGUACCUGAGGCGACGGUGCAAUCAGUCCCCGACGUGACUAUGUCGCUCCUCGUCGACCAAAAGGUACCGAUUGAUUCCCAUCCUACGUCAUUUCGACUCAGCCUCAACCCGCCUAGCGACCUUGCUUUGGCGGGCGCUCUCGUUGAGGCGAGUGCAACCCCUCUGGGGUUUCGCACGCGGUCGCCUUGGGACCGGUUGAGGGACGUCUUGACCUACGGGCCCUUUGGGUCCGAGGAAGAUGACGAUCCCAGCAUCUGUUGGGAUUUCUCUGGAUUUGGCAACCCCAGUGCCAUGCGGGACUUUAUGACCGCAUGUGACUACUGCCUCUCCGACUGUUCCGACGGUAGCCGCAGCCUCGACGACGAGGACUGCGACCCAAGCCGCGAAUGUUUCCACGUCGAGCUAGGGGAUCCCUCCGAAGGCAACCAUCUCGGCAUGCCGGAGGACGGUGAUCUCCCUAGGCCGGUGCCUUGCGCAGACAUCCCGCGGGAGCUAGCUGUGGUCCCCGUUCCGGCGGGGGGUCACGACCCACAGCUUGAGCAAGUCCGCGGGGCGCAGGCCAGGCUCGACGAGGGAGCAGGAGCGCUUGAGCCGAUCCGCCGGGACGUCGGGCAGGUAUGGGCGGGCCAACCCCCGACCGGAGAAGUACGUCACCUGCCCCAGGGUUUCCAGCACCGCGUCGCCAACGAUGUCAGGGUCAGGCCACCACCCGCAUCCAGUGGGGUCGGUCAGAACCUGGCAGCCGCAGCGAUGCUCCUCCGCGCGAUGCCGGAGCCAUCAACCACCGAGGGUCGGCGAAUCUAGGGAGAGCUCAAGAAUCUCCUGGAAGGCGCUGUGGUCCGACGGGCCGAGAGCUCUGCCUCCCGAAGGCAGGGAUACCCCUCGGAACCUCAUGCCGCGACUUCCCGAUUCAUGCGGGAAGCCUCGGUCUACACCGGGCGCACGUGCAACACCGCGCCUGCGGCCCCGGGCCACCUCGGCAACGAGCACCAUCGUCACGACCGACGGGCCCACCUCGACGAAAGGGUGCGCCGAGGCUACCACCCCAGGCGUGGGGGACGCUACGACAGCGGGGAGGAUCGGAGUCCCUCGCCCGAACCACCCGGUCCGCAGGCCUUCAGUCGGGCCAUCCGACGGGCGCCGUUCCCGACCCGGUUCCGAUCCCCGACUACUAUCACAAAGUACUCGGGGGAAACGAGACCGGAACUGUGGCUCACGGACUACCGCCUGGCCUGCCAACUGGGUGGAACGGACGACGACAACCUCAUCAUCCGCAACCUCCCCCUGUUCCUCUCCGACACCGCUCGCGCCUGGUUGGAGCACCUGCCUCCGGGGCAGAUCUCCAGCUGGGAUGACUUGGUCCAAGCCUUCACCGGCAAUUUCCAGGGCACGUACGUGCGCCCCGGGAAUUCCUGGGACCUCCGAAGCUGCCGGCAACAGCCGGGAGAGUCUCUCCGGGACUACAUCCGGCGAUUCUCGAAGCAGCGCACCGAGCUGCCCAACAUCACCGACUCGGAUGUCAUCGGCGCGUUCCUUGCCGGCACCACCUGCCGCGACCUGGUGAGUAAGUUGGGUCACAAGACCCCCACCAGGGCGAGCGAGCUGAUGGACAUCGCCACCAAGUUCGCCUCUGGCCAGGAGGCGGUCGAGGCUAUCUUCCGAAAGGAUAAGCAGCCCCAGGGCCGCCCAUCGGAAGAUGCUCCCGAGGCGUCAACUCCGCGCGGCGCCAAGAAGAAAGGCAAGAAAAAGUCGCAAGCGAAACGCGACGCCGCCGACGCAGACCUUGUCGCCGCCGCCGAGUACAAGAACCCUCGGAAGCCCCCCGGAGGUGCUAACCUCUUCGACAAGGUGCUCAAGGAGCCAUGCCCCUAUCAUCAGGGGCCCGUCAAGCACACCCUCGAGGAGUGCGUCAUGCUUCGGCGCCACUUCCACAGGGCCGGGCCACCCGCAGAGGGUGGCAGGGCCAGCGACGACGACAUGAAGGAAGAUCACCGAGCAGGAGAGUUCCCCGAGGUCCGCGACUGCUUCAUGAUCUACGGUGGGCAUGCGGCGAACGCCUCGGCUCGGCAUCGCAAGCAAGAGCGCCGGGAGGUCUGCUCGGUGAAGGUGGCGGCGCCAGUCUACCUAGACUGGUCCGACAAGCCCAUCACCUUCGACCAAGCUGACCACCCCGACCACGUGUCGAGCCCGGGGAAAUACCCGCUCGUCAUCGACCCCAUCGUCGGCGACGUCAGGCUCACCAAGGUCCUGAUGGACGGGGGCAGCUGCCUCAACAUCAUCUACGCCGAGACCCUCGGGCUCCUGCGCGUCGAUCUGUCCUCCGUCCGAGCAGGCACUGCGCCCUUCCACGGGAUCAUUCCCGGGAAGCGCGUCCAGCCCCUCGGACGACUCGACCUUCCCGUCUGCUUCCGAACGCCCUCCAACUUCCGAAGGGAGACUCUGACGUUCGAGGUGGUCGGGUUCCGAGGAACCUACCACGCGGUACUGGGGAGGCCAUGCUACACGAAGUUCAUGGCCGUCCCCAACUAUACCUACCUGAAGCUCAAGAUGCCGGGCCCCAACGGGGUCAUCACCGUCGGCCCCACGUACAAACGCGCGUUCGAAUGCGACGUGGAGUGCGUGGAGUACGCCGAGGCCCUCGCCGAGUCCGAGGCCCUCAUCGCCGACCUGGAAAGCCUCUCCAAAGAGGUGCCAGACGUGAAGCGUCAUGCCGGCAACUUCGAGCCAGCGGAGAUGGUUAAGGCCGUCCCUCUCGACCCCAGUGGCGACACCUCCAAGCAGAUCCGAAUCGGUUCCGGGCUCGACCCCAAAUAGGAAGCAGUGCUCGUCGACUUUCUCCGCGCAAACGCCGACGUCUUUGCGUGGAGUCCCUCGGACAUGCCCGGCAUAUCGAGGGAUGUCGCCGAGCACUCGCUGGGUAUUCGGGCCGGAGCCCGACCCAUCAGGCAGCCUCUGCGCCGAUUCGACGAGGAGAAGCGCAGAGUGAUAGGCGAGGAGAUCCACAAGCUAAUGGCAGCAGGGUUCAUCAAAGAGGUAUUCCAUCCCGAAUGGCUUGCCAACCUUGUGCUUGUGAGAAAGAAAGGGGGGAAAUGGCGGAUGUGUGUAGACUACACUGGUCUCAACAAAGCAUGUCCGAAGGUUCCCUACCCUCUGCCUCGCAUCGAUCAAAUCGUGGAUUCCACUCCUGGGUGCGAAACCCUAUCAUUCCUCGACGCCUACUCAGGGUAUCACCAAAUCAGGAUGAAAGAGUCCGACCAGCUCGCGACUUCUUUCAUCACGCCCUUCGGCAUGUACUGCUAUGUCACCAUGCUGUUCGGCUUGAGGAAUGCGGGCGCGACGUACCAGCGGUGCAUGAACCAUGUGUUCGGCGAACACAUCGGUCGCACAGUCGAGGCCUACGUCGAUGACAUCGUUGUCAAGACAAGGAAGGCUUCUGACCUCCUCUCCGACCUUGAAGUGACAUUCCGAUGUCUUAAAGCGAAAGGCGUCAAGCUCAAUCCCGAGAAGUGUGUCUUCGGGGUGCCCCGGGGCAUGCUCUUGGGGUUCAUCGUCUCCGAGCGAGGCACUGAAGCCAACCCGGAGAAGAUCACAGCUAUCACCAGCAUGGGGCCCAUCAAGGACUUAAAAGGCGUACAGAGGGUCAUGGGAUGUCUCGCGGCCCUGAGCCGUUUCAUCUCACGCCUCGGCGAAAGAGGUCUGCCUCUGUACCGCCUCUUAAGGAAGACCGAGUGUUUCGCUUGGACCCCAGAGGCCGAGGAAGCUCUCGGGAACCUGAAGGCGCUCCUCACAAAGGCGCCUAUCUUGGUGCCCCCAGCUGAUGGAGAAGCCCUCUUGGUCUACGUCGCCGCAACCACUCAGGUGGUUAGCGCCGCGAUUGUGGUCGAGAGGCAAGAAGAGGGGCAUGCAUUGCCCGUUCAGAGGCCAGUCUACUUCGUCAGCGAGGUACUCUCCGAGACCAAGAUCCGCUACCCACAAGUCCAGAAGCUGCUGUAUGCAGUGAUCCUGACGAGGCGGAAGUUGCGACACUACUUCGAGUCUCAUCCGGUAACUGUGGUGUCAUCCUUCCCCCUGGGGGAGAUCAUCCAGUGCCGAGAGGCCUCGGGCAGGAUUGCAAAGUGGGCGGUGGAAAUCAUGGGCGAGACAAUCUCGUUCGCCCCUCGGAAGGCCAUCAAGUCCCAGGUAUUGGCGGACUUCGUAGCCGAAUCGGUCGACACCCAGCUGCCGACGGCUUCGAUCCAACCGGAGCUCUGGACCAUGUUUUUUGACGGAUCGCUGAUGAAGACGGGAGCCGGCACGGGCCUGCUCUUCAUCUCGCCCCUCGGGACACACCUACGCUACGUGCUACGCCUCCAUUUCCCGGCGUCCAACAAUGUGGCUGAGUACGAGGUUCUGGUCAACGGGUUGCGGAUCGCCAUCGAGCUAGGGGUCAGACGCCUCGACGCCCGUGGUGACUCGUAGCUCGUCAUCGACCAAGUCAUGAAGAACUCCCACUGCCGCGACCCGAAGAUGGAGGCCUACUGCGAUGAGGUUCGGCGCCUGGAAAACAAGUUCUACGGGCUCGAGCUUAACCACAUCCCUCGGCGCUACAACGAGACUCCGGACGAGCUGGCAAAAAUAGCCUCGGGGCGAACGACGGUUCCCCCGGACGUCUUCUCCCAGGAUCUGCAUCAACCCUCCGUCAAGAUCGACGACACGCCCGAGCCCGAGGCACCCUCAGUUCGGCCCGAGGCGCCCUCGGUUCAGCCCGAGGUACCCUCGGCCCCCGAGGGCAAGACACUGCACGUCGAGGAGGAGCAGAGCGGGGCCACGCCUGAUCGAAAUUGGCAGACCCCGUACCUGCAAUAUCUCCGCCAAGGAGAGCUACCCCUCGACCAAGCCGAGGCUCGGCGGGUAGCGUGACGCGCCAAGUCGUUCGUCUUGCUGGGCGAUGAGAAGGAGCUCUACCACCGCAGCCCCUCGGGCAUCCUCCAGCGAUGCAUCUCCAUCGCCGAAGGUCAGGAACUCCUGCAAGAGAUACACUCGGGGGCUUGCGGCCAUCAUGCAGCGCCUCGAGCCCUUGUCGGGAAUGCUUUCCGGCAAGGCUUCUACUGGCCAACAGCGGUGGCUGACGCCACUAGAAUUGUCCGCACCUGCGAAGGGUGCCAAUUCUAUGCAAAGCAGACCCACCUGCCCGCUCAGGCUCUGCAGACGAUACCCAUCACCUGGCCCUUUGCUGUGUGGGGGUCUGGACCUUGUCGGUCCCUUGCAGAAGGCGCCCGGGGGCUACACGCACCUGCUGGUCGCCAUCGACAAAUUCUCCAAGUGGAUCGAGGCCCGACCUCUGAACAGCAUCAGGUCCGAGCAGGAGGUGGUGUUCCUCACCAACAUCAUCCAUCGCUUCGGGGUCCCAAACUCCAUCAUUACCGACAACGGCACCCAGUUCACCGGCAGAAAAUUCUUGGAUUUUUGCGAGGAUCACCACAUCCGGGUGGACUGGGCCGCCGUGGCUCAUCCCAUGUCGAAUGGGCAAGUAGAGCGUGCCAACGGCAUGAUUCUACAAGGGCUCAAGCCUCGGAUUUACAACGACCUCAACAAGUUCGGCAAGCGAUGGAUGAAGGAACUCCCCUCGGUGGUCUGGAGCCUGAGGACAACACCGAGCCGAGCCACGGGUUUCACGCCGUUCUUCCUGGUCUACGGGGCCGAGGCCGUCUUGCCCACUGACCUGGAAUACGGCUCCCCGGGGACGAGGGCCUACAACGAUCAAAGCAACCAAGCUAGCCGAGAAGACUCGCUGGACCAGCUGGAAGAAGCUCGGGACAAGGCCUUACUACACUCGGCGCGGUACCAGCAGUCCCUGCGACGCUACCACGCCCGAGGGGUCCGGCCCCGAGACCUCCAGGUGGGCGACCUGGUGCUUCGGCUGCGGCAAGACGCCCGAGGGAGGCACAAGCUCACGCCCCCUGGGAGGGGCCAUUCGUCAUCGCCAAAGUUCUGAAGCCCGGAACGUACAAGCUGGCCAACAGUCAAGGCGAGGUCUACGGCAACGCUUGGAACAUCCAACAGCAACGUCGCUUCUACCCUUAAGAUGUUUUCAAGUUGUUCAUAUACCUCGCACCCAUGCAAAGUUUAGUCAUCAAGGAAGGGUCGGCCUCGCCUCGGCAAAGCCCGACCCUCCCUCGGGGGCUAAAAGGGGGGGACCCCCUCUGCGUCGAAAUUUUCCUCGAAAAAAGAUCUCUUUUAGCAGAAUAUCUUUCGUGCUUUUUGACUACUUUGAAAAGCGGAUCCUGAAAACGACGGAGUACACGUAAGCAGCCAAGGCUGACCGAGCCGAGGGACUCCUACGCCUCCGGGAUACGGAUACCUCACUCAUCACCUUCUGCGAUAAGUAACUCGCGUUCGGAUAAAGUGAUUCCACGGACCGAACAAGUCUUUACGUCCGGAAGCUCUUCUGCCGAAGCGAUCCUUCGAGCUUUCUCGACUGAGUCGGUGACAGGGCCUCAUGGACGGGUUAAAGUACGCGUAAGCGGCAAGGCCGACCGAGCCGAGGGACUCCCACGCCUCCGGGAUACGGAUACCUCACUCAUCACCUUCCACGAGAAGCAACUCUCGCUCGCACAAACAUCCCUGUUACCGACAAAAAAGUCCAGAUACUCGAAAUAAGAGGAAAAGAGACGCAGCUUUACAACGCAGCGAGGGUGUGUGUUCUGGCCUCGGCGGCUGCAGAGGGCACACAUUACAAGACAAUCUGAUCCUGCAGGCUCGGGUCUUCACGCUGGAAGGGGGCUGUAGCACCCUCGGCAUCGACGAUGCCUUCAGCGAGGUCCGACCCAGCCUCGGACGGCGACGCGGUCCAGGGACUUCUCCGGGAAUCCGGCCCGAGCAGGCGGCUCGGUCGGUUACCCCAGGGGCCUCGGCCAACCAUCUUCCAAGGGCGCCAGCCCGAUCCGAGGCCUCGGCUGAUCAACUCCGGCAUCGGUCCCGCUGACGGACAACCCGGUUAGGCUCCGGCCAACCAGGUUCUCAUUUUCGAGCCAACUCCGCCUCUGUUCGUGCUGAUAUCGCUAACCCUGGCCUCGGCUCGUCGAAGAGCGGCCAAGGGGUCUCUUUAACUAAGCUAGAGGAGCCUCAGACAACAAGGCCAAUCGAGCCGAGGGAUUCCUACGCCUCCGGGAUACGGAUACCUCACUCGUCACCUUGACACGGGGCGACUCAUGCUUGGUGAAGCGGUUCAGAUAAUCAACAUGCGAGUCUUAGUGCUCGAAAAUGAGGAAAAAAAACACACGGCUCCGUGCCAAAAUUACAUACAUGUUCAGGCCUCGACAGCCACAAUGAACAAAAACCCUGGCAUUCAAAGUGCCAUACAAACGGAACUCCGGUUCCCCCUCCGCAGAUACGAACAACCCCACUCGAUGGGGGUGGGCCUGCGGAGCAACGGAAGACCGACGAACGGCGCGCCGUCACCUGCUCCAGCAGCGGUGACGACGACGACUUCUGCUCCAGGGGGCCGAACAGCGGCAGCACUGACCUCAGGGCGGAUGCUGCUGCCAGGAGGCCCCUGCCCAUGCCAAAACUCGUAAGGCAAGGACGGGCAGAAGGCCGUAGAGUUGGAGGUCGGUCCGUGGCCAGCCUCGGCUAUCACGCCGGUGGAAGAACCCCUUCCAGCUGCCGUGGCAGACGCCGGCGCCACGAGCGGCUCCGAAGCCACUCGCGUCCGAAAGCCGGGCACGCUGCAGCUGCCAGCGACACGGACAACAACCGCCCCUCCCUCCGAUCACUGAGUGAAGGAGCGGGCCACCGCCCACGCAGGGGCCGACCCCAACUCGGCACACUCCCCUCCCCAGCCUUGGUGAUGAAAAUCCUUGAGGCUGAGGGAGGGGGAGAGGCCGCAGCCCGGCUCGCUUUCCCCCACCAUCAAGCUGGAGGUCACCAUCUUGGGUGACCACAAGCGGAGGGGUGCAGCCGGGCUGCAUGAUGAAAAUCCUUGAAGCCGAACGAUGGCUGAAAGGUACCAACUCCCACGGAGUUGUGUUCCUCCAAUGAUGAGGCGAAAAGACGGCGGGUUCCCCCCAUCCGGGGGCUUGGAAGGUGAAAAGACGCGAUGCAUAAGGAAGGGAGAAGACAUGGUCGCCUCCCGAAAGGGGUCGCCCUCCUUUUAAAGGCAACUCUCCCUACGUGUGCCCCCAAACGUCACGGGCUGAGUCUUCUCCAACACGCUCCAAGGCCCUCCCCUGCGACGCGGGGGCUGGGUCCCGCAUGUCAUGCAAACCGGCUCAGAGCAGAAGAAGCCAAACCGCCGCGCGUGGUGCACACAACCGCCCAGCGGUUACAAGCGACCCCCCACUUUUGCCCAGACCAACGGGCGGAAGGGGCGGGCAGCCAUGCAGGCAGCAUGCAAUCGCGCCGGGUGGACGCGCUUCUACGGCUCCCAACACGCCAGCAUAGAGGCCCAGGCCCACGCGUCACGCAACCGGCGCGCCGGAUGCUGCAUGCAAGCAACUGCACCGCCAGUUGCGCCACCACCGCGCCUCUUCGGUUGCGGAACCAAUACCGCGACUCGAGGCGGCCCAGCGCACGACCCAGCAGCGCCAGCCUGGCGCGACGGUCAAUGCAGCCGAAAGUGGGCCGGCAGUAAUGACGGUGGCAGGCGGGCGGGAGCAGCGGUCAUGUCGUCGGCCAGGCUCACGUCCCAUCCGGGGGCAGCAAGAGAACCCCCUCUCACGGCGUGAAGACAGGGCGCCCGUGAUCCGUUCCUCGAACGGCUCGCGUACGCGCAACGGCCGCCCUGCCAACAACUCACCCCGUCGCAUUAACUCCGUGGCGGGACAGGCGGCGCUACUGGCAGGAGAAGCGGGCGACGCUUCGCCUUCGCCGUAAUAACCGCACCAGAAAAGGUACGCCACGUCGUUCGAUUUCGUAUCCUUUUCCUUUUUUUCUCUUUCUCUAUCUCUUGCAACAGGGACCGGGAAAGGGGGAUACCCCGAAAAGGAUCCUUCCCUGUGAAGGAACCGGGCUCCGAGCCCCCCUACUGAUCAGAGGUUCGAAGGCUGGCCCUCCGAGGGGUUCAACAGCCGCCUCAGAUCGCGUGGGCCCUACACCCACUACUGGUCAAAGGUUCGAAGGCUGACCCCCCGAAGGGCUCCACGGCCGCCUCAGGCUACUCGGGCUCCGCGCCCAUUACUGAUCAGGGGUUCGAAGGCUGGCCCCCGAAGGGUUCACAGUCGCCUCAGACGCCGAGCGAGGGAUGACCAGGAUUACGUUCGAUACAUAACCAAGGCUCGGGCUGCGCUCCCGAGGUACCCUAGGACAUUUCCGAGACCAGCGGGAGCGAUCUUGUAAUGGAAUCCCAUCGGAGGGAGGCAUCGAGCCCUCGGACCCCGUCGCCAGGGGACCGGGUCCGGCAGAUCACCCGCAGGUACUUUUGGGCGUGCCUCUGGGCCCCAAGCCGACCCCCAACGAGCGGGGCACGGACGUCCACUCGGAUUACCCGCUUGC